rnacentral:lncRNA from 1 species
AGCCGUGGCGCACCUCAGCGCCCUCUCCCGCGACUUCUCCGACGCCAGGUUCCUCGAGGUCAAGUCCUGGCUCACCUCCACGCUCGGCGGCACCGCCACCUGCGAGGACGCCUGCAAGGACGCCCCCGUCAGCGACAUCAAGAACGUCUGCAUAACCAAGAGCUUCGAGUUUGAGAAGCUGCUGCGCGUCACGCUGGACCUCAUCACCGAGGCUUCCGGCUCCAUGUCGGCCGAGGUCGCACUGCCGCCGUCGGAUGCGUCGGCGCCGUCCGGAGGGUACGGCUCGUCGGCUGGCGCCCCCGCCUACGGCGCCCCGUCUCCUGAUGCCCCAGCUUAUGGCGCCAGCGUACCAGCGCCAGCGCCGACCUCGGGGCAGAGCACUGCUUCGACUGCAUGAGUGAUGAUAUCGUGGCGGCACACACGCAUCUUGGUCACUCCUAUGCUAUGCAUGCAUGCUUCGAAUUACCGACCGAAAAGUCUGGUUCCUCGGCCAAUUUCUCGUUCCUGGUCAGCUAGGGGAACCAUUUCUCGGCCCGGUAUCACAUUUUAAAAAUAUGAAAGUCAAAUUUUUUUUGUUCAAAACGAAAUUUCGGAACAGUGAAGCCUGCUCCUUACUAUGUUCCAAGUAUUUUGCUCUCUCCUCCAUCCCACAAUUUUCGAGCAGUAUGUCAGCUUAGAAUUAGGAUUUUUUGGUGCUGCAUCAUUGAUGCAAAUGAAUAUAAUGAGGCCAGAAAAUGGCACAGCAUGUUACUUUUGACAUGUUGCAGCGAUAAGCCAUCAUCAGUUGUCCCCCCCCCCCCCCCUAAAAAUUACAAUACACUUCCAUUCCGAAUUAAAACUUUAACUGUUACUUACAUAGUUACAUUUGUAAUUUAUUGUUUGGAAAACAUAAGGUGAUAAUAGGAAAUAAUAUCAAACACUUAAAAUCAUACUUAUAUCAUCAAACUUUAUACUUUUGUUCAUAGGGAAACCAUUGGUUCAAGAUUAUGAUCAAAUUUAAAAUGUGUGUGUGUGCCUUUAGAAAAAUAAAUGGAUGAGAGGGUGUGUUUCUUUGGUUAAUACUGUGCUCUCGCCUCCGGUGACUUUGUGAAUCUCGAGAUCUGUCGGUUCAGUCCUUCGAAGAUGUUCAUAGGGAUAUGGUUUAUAUGCAUAGUAUGUUUAUAGGGGUCAGUGUAUGUGUACGUGUUAUGGAUGUCUAUGUUGUAUUGUGUAAUAGUAAAAAAAAGAAUUGAAACAUUUCUUUAUUCGUACCAUAACAUAUAUUGAAUAUUAAGUUUUUUCUCGAUGUGUUUUAUAUAAAAAUUACAUAACGACACCUUUUCAAAGAAUCCAUACCUUGAAUAACUGUCUGUAACACAACAUUGCAUGGCACACCACAUACAUAUUCACAUGCACCAUAUAAUGAUGACCCAAAGAGAUCCAAUGGUUAUGUGCUUGCCAUUUUCACAACCUAAUUAUUAUUCUAGAUAUUCAAUGACCACAUUUUUGCAAGGGGAAGUCUAACUAGAAGUAUGCCUACACGUUGUCGUGGCAUAACGGUGACCUAUGCCCGAGCCCUUUAGAAGUAUUUAUGGUUUUCAAUGGAUAAUCAUUCUCAAAGCUCUCAUCGGUCACUGAAAAUCCUGUCCCACAAUAUCAGAGGCAUCAACUCUGACACCAAAUGGAAUUCAUUGUGGAACAAUAUCUUGGAAUCCAAUUGUGACAUUGUUUGUAUUCAGAAAACAAAAAAGAAUCCUUCGACGAAUCAUAUCUUCGUUUUUUCUGCAACUGUAAUUUAGGUAAAUUUGCUCAUGGCCCUUCUAUUGGAGCUUCUGGAGGAUUCAUCACUAUUUGGAAAGACUCCCUCUUUGAGGCAGAGGUAGUUGAUCAGAAUGUGUUUGGGCAUACUAUUUGCUUUCGGUCUAAUCUAGAUGGUCAUGUUUGGUGGCUUUCCAACAUCUAUGCCCCUUGCUCCCCUCAUGGAAGAGAAGCCUUUCUUGCAUGGUUUUCUAACCUUGAAAUUGCUGAAGACAAGCUUUGGAUUUUUCUGGGUGAUUUCAAUAUGAUUAGAUAUCAUGAAAACCGUGACAAGCUGGGUGGUGACCCUAUUAGAAUGCUCAAUUGCAAUGCGGCAAUCAGUCAACUGGGUUUACAGGAAAUUCCUCUCAAAGGGCAAACUUUCACUUGGUCAAACAUGCAACGCCAACCUUUGCUUGAAAAGCUGGACUGGUGCUUUAUCUCGCCAGCCUGGUCUUCCAAUUUCCCCGCGACUUCUGCCUUUACUCUGACCAGGGGGGCCUCAGAUCAUGUUCCCUGGGUGGUCAAUAUCCAAUCUAAUGUCCCUAAACCGCCCAUUUUCAGAUUUGAAAACUAUUGGCUUCAGCUUGAAGACUUUCAUUCCAUUUUUCAAGGCUCUUGGAAUCAUGAUUUGUUUCAGCCUGACCCUGCUAAACGGCUUAUGGCUAAGUUUAAAAGAGCGAGAAAGGUGAUCCAUGGGUGGCAGAAAUCCUUACCCAAUUUAGCUAAGCUGAUUGAUAAGGUGGAAUUGAUCAUUCAGUUUAUGGACUUUAUUGAGGAAAGCAGAGACUUAACAAUUCAAGAGUGGAACUUUAAGGAUGUUUUAGUUCAUCACCUGCAGGUUCUUCUUUCCAAUCAGCGUAUUUACUGGAAACAGAGAGGUCAAAUCAAAUGGGCUACGUUGGGGGAUGCUGGCACAAAAUUUUUCAUGCAAAUGCCACUUCGAAGCACCGUCACAACAAUAUUUUGUCUUUAAACCGUGAUAAUGGCAUGGUUGCUCUCUCUCAUUUGGACAAAGAAGAGGUGCUUUUCCAAGCUUUCAAAGAUCGAUUAGGGACCUCUCAACCAACAUCUAUGGUUUUCAACUUGUCGAAACUAAUUCAGCCUGUUAUCAGCCUGUCAGCUUUAGAAACGCCCUUCUCCCGCAGUGAGAUAGACCAGAUCAUCAGGAACUUACCUGCUAAUAAGUCGCCUGGCCCUGAUGGUUUUAACACGGAUUUUGUCCGAAAAUGCUGGCCGGUGAUUGCUUCGGACUUUUAUGAACUUUGUGAUAAGUUUUAUGAGGGAUCGAUCUGCAUGGAAAGUUUUAAUGGAUCUUAUGUGACUCUUAUCCCUAAGCAUAGCUCUCCUACCUCGGUGGGUGACUAUAGACCGAUUUCCCUCCUCAAUACAAGUAUGAAAGUCCUGACUAAAAUCCUUGCUAAUCGACUGCAACUGGUUAUUUCUAAAUUAGUCCAUCAGAAUCAAUAUGGUUUUCUCAAAGCAAGGACAAUUCAAGACUGUCUAGCAUGGGCGUUUGAAUACAUCUCUAUCUGUCAUAAGUCGGGUAAAGAAUUGGUCAUCCUAAAAUUGGACUUUGAAAAGGCUUUUGACAAAUUAGAACAUGCGGCUAUCAUUGAUAUUUUAAGACAUAAAGGUUUUGGGGACAGAUGGUUACACUGGAUCUCCUUGAUUCUUGGCUCUGGCACUUCACAAGUUCUUUUAAAUGGAGUCCCGGGAAGACGUUUUCAUUGCAGGCGUGGAGUUCGCCAGGGGGCCCCUUGUCCCCCCUUCUCUUUGUUCUAGCAGCAGACCUGCUCCAGUCAAUUAUUAUCAAGGCCAAGGAUUGUGGCAUCCUCAAGCUCCCGAUUCCGUUCUCCCGUGGAUCUGAUUUCCCGAUUAUCCAGUACGCAGAUGAUACAAUUAUGAUUUUGGAAGCGUGCCCCAGACAACUCUUCUUCCUUAAAGCGAUGCUUAACUCCUUUGCUGACUCUACAGGGCUCCAUGUGAAUUAUAACAAAUCUAAUAUUUAUCCCAUCAAUGUUUCAGAGCAGAAAAUGGUUGUUCUUGCAAAUACGUUCCACUGCAAGAUUGGAUCUUUGCCCUUCACGUAUCUCGGGCUUCCUCUGGGGCUUCGUAAACCCAAUUUGGAAGCAUUCCUUCCUCUCAUUCAGAGGAUCGAAAGAAGACUCGCUUCAACUUCUAUAUUUCUAUCCCAGGCUGGUAGAUUACAAAUGGUCAACGCGGUAUUUUCUUCUCUUCCAACCUACUACAUGUGCACCCUGAAGCUUCCCAAAAAUGUGAUCAAACAGAUUGACAAACUUCAACAGCAUUGUCUUUGGAGAGGGGCAGACAUAAAUGCAAAAAAGCCUCCUCUUGUUGACUGGAAAUCAGUAUGCAAGCCAAAAAUUCAGGGGGGCCUUGGAGUCAUCAAUCUUGAGCUUCAGAAUAAAGCGCUACUUAUGAAAUGCCUCCAUAAAUUCUAUAAUAGAGUCAACAUCCCGUGGGUCAACAUCAUCUGGGACACUCACUACAACAAUUCUCUACCUUCAGCUAAACCAGUUGGUUCGUUUUGGUGGAAAGAUAUUCUCAAAAUUCAUGAUUUAUUUAAGGAAAUUGCCCGAGUGGAGGUUGGAAAUGGGAAAACUACUCUCCUCUGGCAUGAUCGAUGGAAUGGACAGCGCACAUCUGAAAGAUUCCCGGAGCUCUGGUCUUUUGCAUCUGUCAGGGAGAUUAACAUUCAUCAAGCUCGGUUGGCUUCCCCGAAUGAAUUGUUCCACACUCCCCUAUCUGCUGAAGCGUUUGGCCAGUUACUUUCAUUUCAGGACAUUCUUGCUGAUUUCCAAUUGCAUGAUCACAAUGAUAUUUGGCGUUGCAGUGGCUCUUCCAAUCUGUUUUCAUCUCAGAAGGUCUAUGCUCACUUGAUUGGCGCCCAGCAGUCGCACCCUCUCUUCUCUUGGUUAUGGAAAUCUAAAUGUCAACCUAAGCACAAAGUGUUCUUCUGGUUAUUGCUCAAAGACAGAUUGAAUACCUGCUCCCUCCUCAGGCGUCGUUCAAUGCCCUUGGAUUCCUUCACCUGCGAUAACUGCAUCCUUCAGAUUGAAGAGACGCUCAUUCAUCUCUUCUUCAUAUGUAAUUUUGCUCGGCGAUGUUGGUUACUUUUGGGCUUUCUCCCGCCGCGUAAUUUGAAUCUCCUGCAUACCUUAUUGAGGAUUAGAAGGAGAUUGCAAGUCCCUUGGAGGCUAGAAACUAUUAUCAUUAUGACGUGGUGCAUCUGGAGGUGCAGAAAUAAUUGGAUUUUCAUGAGAUCCCUCCUACCGUUUCUGAGUGCAAGGCGAUGUUCAGGACUGAAUUUGCCUUAUUAUGCCAUCGAGUCAAGCCUAAUCUUAAGGAAGAUAUCUCCACCUGGUUACUUCAUUUAGGAUUGUAGUUCCUCCCCUUGCUUUCUCUUCCCUUCACUUGCGGUGUAAUUUUCCUCUCUUUUCCUAAAACUUGGUUCUCUUUGAAUUAAUAAAAUUACUGUAGGACAUUCCUACAGUACCUUUACUUUAAAAAAAUAAUAUGAUGUUGAUGCGCUCGCGCUCUAUAUUGUUCGACUAAUCCGGUGGCUAUUCCAGAUUAAUCUAAAAAUUCGAUGGUCAUGCUGGAUCAAUUUAAUUUGAUAAUCUAAUGUUGCGUUUGUGCUCCAGAUUGAUAUACUGGUCCAAUGAUUAUUCUGGAUUAAUCUAAAAACCCGAUGACCAUGCCAUAUUAAUUUCUACAUAAAGGGCGAACUCUCUUCUCGCUAUCUCGAAGGGCGAAAUUCAUCCCACGGCUUGAUUAAAUGCUUAAAUGCUGGCUAAAUUAUUGGCAAAACUUAUCAUUAUUAUUCCAACGACACGUCUUGUGUAGACGAGAUCGGACACAUUAUUGCUGGGCACCGACGAGACGAAAGCAAUACAUCUGUUCAUGCUGAUGAAGACUGGCGUACCCACGACUGGACACCGACGAGGCAAAAGUCAUCCUUUUCAUCAACAACAUCCCGUUUACCAAUCAACGUGACAAUGACGUAGUCAUGAUUGAGUUUUGGCAAUUCUAAAAGCCACUCACAUCAUACACCUUUCACUCAUUCUAGAGAUACGACGACCACUAUGCGUAGCUUAAUCGGAUGUGUUCUACAAAUUUUUUACUUUGUAGAUGUAAUUAACCGGGCGAGCCUCUCUCACGUAAGGCCUCGAGAAUCAGCUAGCGAACUACACAUUCUCCAAGUUAGAAGCUUGUCCAAGCAACGACGUAGAAGACAACGGAAGUGAAGACAAGUUCAGGCGAACGGUGUUUUUUGUAAAUCCAAUGAUUAGUGAAAUAUAUGGUUCACGAUUGCAACACUUAUCCUCAUCGUAAGAUUCUUUUAUUUUUUUUGUUCUCGCGAACACUCACCUUCGUAAAUUUAAGAUAGAUUUAUAUCUAAACUUUAGAGAAGUUGUAGAAUGCCAUAUUUUAAGCCAAAUAGUGUAUUCCAUUAAGUAGAUUCCAAUUUCUUUAAAAUAAAAGAUCCAAACAGUCUCCUGGUGCAAAUUCCGGACACAACGAGAAGUAGCGAGAAAUGCACUUAGUUCAGUACUACAUCUUAUAUCUGGUGGAGAAAUAAUCAUGGGACUAAGGCCCCGUUUGGUUUAGGAUAACUAAAGUUUAGUCACUUUUAGGUCCUAAAGAAGCAAACAUGAUGACUAAAGUGGGUGACUAAAUUUUAGUUCUUUAGUCACCAAGGAAGUGACUAAAAGUGACUAAAGUAGUGUUUUUACCUUAUUUGUCCUCUCCACUUUCUUCAAAUAGCAAACAUUCAUUAAUUAAUAGGGGUAAAACAGUCAUUAUUCACAACAAUUAAAGCUCUUUAGUCCGGUUUAGUCAUUGGAAACAAACGGGUUACUUUAGCGACUAAACUUUAGUCACUAAAAUUUAGUCUAGUGACUAAAGGAACCAAACAGGGCCUAAGAAGAAUAUGCAUUGCAAACAAUUCCUAAUGGAGUAUCUACUCGUUGUCUCUAAUGUGACACAAAUUUAGCAAUGUCGAUGCAUUUUUUUAAAAGAACUGACCAAACAAGACUUUGGGCCACACAUAGGCAACACUAGUUUGGUUGCGUGACAUAUUAGGAUGGGAUGUUAUGGAUCUGGUUUGAGAGAUGAAAUGAUCACUAGUUUUGUUUGGUUGGAAGGAUGUGAUGUUUACUGAUUUUUUGUUUGGUUUGAGGGAUAAGUAGGGAUGAAUUGAUCUUGUCUUUUGUUUGGAUGGAGGUAUACGUGAGAAAGAAACAAGCAUUUGUGGGAUCGAGGAGCCUUGUCUCUUGUAGUUAGGAACGGCAUUAAUUCUUAGGUUAGGAACGACAUUAAACGAAAAUAUUUUUAUGUAGAUGACUUUAUUCUAAGGCUCCGUUUGUUUCGUUGGAAUUGAAUUCCAUUUUAAUAAUUAUAAUUUAGAUAAAACUAAUUAAGUUUAUAUAUUUAUAUAUAUAAUAUAUUUGUAUAUUAUCUUAAAUCAUACGAGAGAAAUAGUUAUAUACUACAUUUAUGUUAUAACAAAGCAAAUAAAAGAGUGUGUUAUAAGUUAUACAUCGAAAAAAUAGUAUGUAAAUCUAUGGAAUCAAUUUCUAUCUCUCACCCCAUAAAUUUGAGAUAGCCUUACAUGAUAACUUUGAAAAGUGGUGGAAUGUCAUAUUUUAAAUAAAAUAGCCUAUUCCAAUAGUAAGGUUUCAAUUCCUCAAAAUGAAAGGAAACCAACAGGGACUAAUUAUAAUUUUCAUCCUCUGUUAUGUCAUUGCAGACAAACACAUACCGAGAGAAUGAAGACACCUGUCGUAGAAGUCACAUAACUUAUUUGGAAGGCUCAGCAUGUGUUGCGGAUGGCACGUUCCACUUCUAGUCUUCUCCUAGAACGGCGGUAUGCCACAUGCAAGUGCCCGGCCCGGGAGAACCAGUCGUUUGGCCCCUGGACGCCUUAAGUUCACAAAUCACACAGAUAUAUAUAGACCAUGCACUCACCACAAUUAAUCGCACCGCCACCUUUACCACCGAGAGAGGAACGCGAACAACCAACGAUCGCCUCAUCGCCAUGGCACGCUCUGUCCCCAUCGCGCCUCUGCUCCUGCUCCCCCUCCUCCUCCUCCUCGUCUCCACUGCGUCCGCUGCACGGACCGUGGGCGACACCGUGCAGGACGCGUGCAGCAAGACACAAUUCCCCAAGAUCUGCGUGGACAGCCUCACCGCAAAGCCAGAGAGCCAGAAGGCGACCCCGCGCCGGCUGGCGGAGCUGUUCGUGAACAUCGCGGCCGAGAAGGGAUCCGGGAUGGCCACGUUCGUGCACGGGAAGUACAACAACGCCAAGGACAGCACCGUGUUCAAGUGCUACGACAGCUGCUCGGACGACGUCGAGGAGGCCGUCGCCCACCUCAACGGCCUCGUCCGGGAGCCCACCGACGCCAAGUUCCUGGAGCUCAAGUCGUGGCUCUCCUCCACGCUCGGCGGCACCUCCACCUGCGAGGACGCCUGCAAGGACCUGCCCAAGAACGGCGACAAGGACGACGUCGUCAACUUCAGCCUCGACUUCGAGAAGCUGCAGCGCGUCACGCUGGACCUCAUCACCGAGGCAUCCGGAUCCAUGUCCGCAGGCAUCGCCCUGCCACCCUCCAACGCCGGAGCGCCCUCCUACGGGGCGGCGGCGCCGUUCGGAGGUGCCGCGGACGCACCCGCCGGCACCUCCGAGGGCCCUGCCAGCGCCAGCGGGCCAUCAGCUGGUGACGCGCCGGCGUAUGGCGCCAGCGCCAGCGGCCCGACUGCUGAUGCUCCGGCGGCGGCGGCGGCGGCGGCGUCGUCCGGGCCCUCUAGCGCACCCGCGCCAUCGUCGUCUGAGUCCUCCGGCGCACCAGGGCCGUCGUCGUCUGAUGGGUCCUCCGGCGCCCCGGCGCCAUCGUCGUCUGAUGGGUCCUCCAGCGCCCCGGCGCCAUCGUCCGGCGACGACGGAUCAGCUUGAGCGUGAGCGAUGACGCGGAGUUUGGGUCAUUUCGUGCCUACUCAGAGACGACGAUCUCUUCUUCCAAUUACAAAUUGGCCGUCCGUUUACUCCUCACAAUGUGUAAUGAUAAUAACGGAUGCUACUACGUACCGUACGGAUAAUGGGUACGUAGCUACAUGAAGCUGUCUACGGAUAAUGCCGUCCGUUUACUCCUCUCACAUGUUUAAAAUUUUAGUUUCGUUUCUUUCGAUUUCGAACGCUGUUGCAUAUUCCCAGACCCAAUAAUAAAGAACCCGACAGACAAUGCAACAACCUAACAAAAUGUAAUAUAUAUAUAUAUAUAUAUAUAUAUAUAUAUAUAUAUAUAUAUAUAUAUAUAUAUAUAUAUAUAUAUAUAUAUAUAUAUUGACACAAAAACAAUAUACUUCAACAAAUUAUAAACAAAUCACAAGAGAACAAAUAAGAUACGGUUGUACCACACGGCCGGCCAAGACAUAACGUGAUGUAACUCAAAAUUUCACAUUUUGAAAAAUGUAAUGUAUAUGUGUCAUUACAAAAGAAAUUAUGAGACCUUCGUCUUAGGCUUGUGCCAGUGCGAGACGUUACUUGGGUUGACAUCGAUCGCCACGAUGUCAAAAUACGGAUCGCUUUGCCGGAUGAUCGAUAACGCUACCGACUGCCUAAAUUAGUCGGUACUAAUUAUACUGGAAUCAAAUUGGUCGGUACCGAUCACCGCACUAAUAAUGAACCAGUCGGUACUGAUCCGGUCGGCGAUAUCUGACUUUAGUACGUAAUGUGUUUUUAUUGGUCCACAUGUGCGUCACGUGUCGAGAAAAAGUAGCCAAAAUCAACAUGAAUAUAUAAUUGACCGAGUGGUCACAAGAAUAAAAAUCUAUCACUUUCUAUAUUCUAAAUCUUAUGAGUUACUUUAUCAUCCUAUAUACGUCUUCUGCUCGUACCUAGGUAUGGUAAAAAAAAAAAAAACAAACCAAACAUGCCAAUACUUUGCACCGUGUCCAUGCAAACAAACGGCCCGUAGUGCCUCGCUGGAAACUGGAUAGAGGCAUAGAGCGAACAACUGAGAAACCGUCCAAGUCGUGCCAGUUCAGCUUCAGCAGGUGACGUCGGUUCGGCACAUGCCCGCCCUGACGAGGCUCGCCGCGCCGCCGCCGCUGGCGGCCCCGUCCGCACGCCGCAGGUCGCUGACCCUGCCACCACCGCCACGUCCGCCACACUGCUCCUCCUCCUGGUACAGCGGGAGGCGCUCGUCGUCAAGGCCCUCGGCCACCGCCGGCGGCGCCCCCCGCGGAGGCCCGCUCCCGGAGCCAGAGGAACUCGACCAGCUCCUCCUCACCGCCCUCCGGGCUGCUCGCAUCCGCGACGAGGAGUCUCGCCGCUCAGGUAUACCCAAUGAAUUUUCUCAUAUUGGAGACCUCGUGUUGUUGCUCGAUUGACUUUUCGAUUUGGGUUAGUACUGCUGAACUGCGCGCCACUUUUUCGACGAAUCGUGGAGAAACUAUAAUUGCAAAUCAUGUGCUACGUAAAUCGAGAUUCUCCUACACCUGGGCUGUUGGGCAGGACGAAAUCUCGGUGGAUUGCAUGCUAUUUUUUCUUCAUUGUGAACUCAUUUAACACAGAAUGGAGCAAUCUGGUGGUCAGGUUUAAUACUCCCUCUGUCUGAAAAGAAUGUAAUUUUCUCUUUCCGAUGAGUCAAACAGUUAGUUUUGACCAAAUUUAUACUAGAAAGUACUAAUAUUUACGAUGCCAAAUAAAUACACUCGGCCAGGGAGGGAAUGACCAUGCCAAAUAAAUAUCAAUAGAUCAACUAUAAGAGCAACUCCAAGAGAUCAGUUAAAAAGAUUAGCCAAAUUUACCGAUUUAACUACUCUCUAAAAUAGAUUUUACAGAAAAAGAGUAGGCUAAUCCAACAGACUCGGUAACCUACGAACUGAAUGUAGAGUAAAACAGGCUAUCCAAAAAUAGAGAGCGAAGAUAGAGGGCCACUAAAUUUGAAGAGUCAUUUACAGAAUCUAUUGAAGACUUUUUCUUCUAAUAAUAGCUAAAUUUACCUGUACUAAAACCAUAUACCUAGUCUCUUGGAGUUGCUCUAAACCUGUUUGGAAAAUAUAAAUAUUGAUAUUAUUUUUCUAUAAACUUGGUUAAACUUAAGAAAGUUUGACUUGUUCUAAACCUACAAUUGCAUUUUUUUUGGGGACAGAGGGAGUAAUUGAUAUGAAGUCGGGCUACAUGUUUAAGGUUGUAUAUGACCCGGCGAAGUGAUUUUUUUUGAGUCAUUGCAAUUCACUUUGGAUACUGGAGCCCUAGAACUUUGUGAUGCUUUUGCUUCAAAUGUGGUAGCUUAGGGUUCAUGGAUUCCCAUAAAAAGAUGCGUAACUUGAACAGAGAUAUAGGAAUAUGUCUACAUUAGUACACAACUGUCUUCUGUUGUUGUCCUGAUAUUUCUUUUCUGGUAGAGUGGUAGGCCGAUAUUUGUAUUUUGCUGUCAGACUGGCAUUUUCGCAUUGUUUGCUGUUUCAGCACAAUGUGUUGGUUUAUUGUGCUGCAAAAUUUUAGGAACAGAACUCAUUAUUAUGUUUUUUAAGGUCGAGAAUGUCUUAAUAACAACUGAGGUAAAAUUUAAUUAGCAAAAUAUUUAUGCGUGCAGAUGCUUAGUGCAACUUUUGUUAUGUGCCUUGACUUCAUUUUCUGGUCAUUUAAUCACAUUGAAGGAUGUCAAAGAUCCUCAUGAGUCAGGAGGCAAAUGUUGAUGACAUGUAUGUGCCUUGACUUCAUUUUCUGGUCAUUUAAUCACAUUGAAGGAUGUCAAAGAUCCUCAUGAGUCAUGAGGCAAAUGUUGAUGACAUGUUCACUACUGUUUAAAGAACUAUGUUGUACUAUUUUCCUGGGAAAACAUUGAUAAUAAUCACCGUAGAGUAUUAGUUUCCUUUGCUUUAGAUAUGUUCUAUGUUAGUUCGAAUGUAAUUUAAUGAAGUUAUGCAUGCAGAUCCUCUUUUUAUCGAUCCAUAUGCUGCCAUUCUUCUUUCACAUGACGUGGCACAUCAUGAUAUGGAUUAUCUAGAUUCACAUGCACUGCCUUGGCAAGAUCAUUAUAGGCUAACAACCAGAUAUAUUGAUGACAAAAUACAGAAUUUGAUCAACAAUUCAGAAGAUAUUAGACAGGUAAAUUUAAUCAACUCUUUCCUUCCAACCGUUUGAGAAUAUGCUAGCAGCUAGCUCAUUCCUUAUAGAUUGUUCUGUUGACAGAUGGAAUGGACACUCGUCCGUACAGGCUGAACUGGCCAAGGUUGUCUGUUAUAUAUGAUGUGUCACCAGGAGAAGUCUUCACUGCAGCAACUCAGCAGCUCAGAGGUGUAUUAUAGACUUAUCAGUCACAAGUUUCUUCUUUUCAUUUGUUUAGAUGACAGGCUUCCUUACCCAUGUUUAUGCCAUAGUUCAAUCAAAACAUAUGCAUUUUCCACAAUAUACCACCAUUAGUUCCUGAACCUUUCUAGUCUGGUCAGCUGAGGCACUACUAAUAAUUUCUUCACUGGAUUUUGAGCCCUCAAACUAUCAAAAUUUGUCCAGCACUCCAGCUCUUCUAUCCUUAAAAAAAGCUGUAUUAAUGAAAAAAAAGAUUGUGUUUCAUUAUAAAAUGUCAAUUAUUUAAAACCAGAUGUAGUAACUAGUAACCAUUAAAAUAGCUUAUCCCCUGUAUAGUACUAAUAAGUUCUUGUGCUGUGCCUCACUGACAUAUUGGGCUGUUUAUUCAAAACCAUAUUGGUCUCGUAAUGAGUUGCUUGUCGUGUUUUAGACCAUGAACAUUUUUUAACCAUAAAUACAGCAGGGGAAACCCCCACUGUAGGGUUUUUUUUAUUAAAGGGAAAUGUACUUAUUCAGCGGCAUAUGGAUGAUUGCUUCUCUAAAGAAAACUUAGAGCUUUGAUAAUGAUUGCCAAGAACUUACUUGCAUUUAUGUUUCUUAUGGUUCACAGGAACUGGAGCGAAAGUAUCACAAAAUUGUGUUUUGCUUCAUACUCCUUUGGAAUCCCAUGAUAUACAAGCGUGCUUGAGCAAAAAUGGUUUCAAUGGGAAUAGGAUCAGCUUGUGGGUACUGCAGGUAACUAGCUUAACUUGUAAGCAUAUUUAAAUAAGUGAAUUCACAAAUGUCUUCAUCGGCCUUGAGCACAAAACACUGUUUUUAAGGCGUCGCCUAGGCGUCGCCUAGGCGACGCCUAGGCGUCCGGGCGGUGGUCUGACGCCUAGGCGCCUUGCCCGCCUACCUCGCCUAGGCGUCGCCUAGGCGCCGCCUAGGCGUCUAGGCGAUGGUCCAACGCCUUGGAGCGCCUUACCGCUUUAAAAACCAUGGCACAAAAGCAGUUCAGUUAUGGUGCAUAUGAAUGUUAGUACAGUCAGUAACAACAGCUUGAUAGUCUUAUUUUUGUAAAAUGAAGUUUUAUUGGCAUUGCAGGGAUUACCUCUGUCCACAACCACAAGUUUGGAACAUCUCUUGCUUCUCAUAAGCAAUCUAGCAAUGAAAGGAAGUAUCGUCAUAGGAGAGCUGCCCCAUUUUACAGACUGUACAGCACCAAUGGACAUGGUUGGUUGAAAAAAUAUAUGUCAAAAUCACAUAUUAUCUUUUAAAUGGGUGGCCAAUAACAGUUCUGCUGUACGAUGUUUUGCAGGGCUUGGAACAGGACAAACUAGAAAAGCUUUUCUUUACUCAUGGCUUUCGAGUCAGCUUUGUGCAAUAUGAUACUGUUGCAGAGGAUAUUGGCUUAGAUCUAGCUAUUACAUUGGAACAAUGUGGCACAAUGCUUUUUGUUGCAGAACAGCUGCGGUUUUCAGAUGCACAGGUGAGCCAUUGGAACUUCUGUUUGAUUUUUUUUCUCUCGCUACAAUUGUUUUUGAAGAUGAUCUGAGAAGAUUUUGGGAUCAUAGCCCUGAUUUCGAAUUCCUUUGUCAGAAUGUUUCCUGGUAGAGUCAGUUAGCGAAGUCCGACUGAUUUCUGGUAGACACCAUGAAAUCUAAAUUCAAAUAUUUCCAAAAAAAAUACGACUUCUGUCUAGAACUGCCUGUAAUUUUUUCUUUCAAGAGCCAGACGAAAAGGUACGGGGUUCUACCUUUUGAUGGCCUAGGUUUAGUUUGGCCAUCAUUUAUGUAUGAAAUAUAUUACCAACAGUACAUGAGUAAUCUUGCAUAAAAAACACGUACAUGUAAAUAAAUCAUUGAGGUCCACUGUGUGUUGAGUUUGAAGCGAUUUAGACCGUAAGAGGAAACGGUACAAAUACUAAAAGUUUUGUCAAAAACCCACUCCACCUGCAGCUUCUUUAGGUUGUGGCUGCGGCUACAGUUGCAAAAAAAAAAAAAAAACAAAAAAAAACAACAGCAACUAACAUGUACUGUUAGUAGGUCGUUAUUGUGACAGCUCUGUCAGGAAAUAUGAUUAGAAAUCUGAGCCCCAGGCCCCAGCUGGGAUUUCUGGUUGGUGGUCAAGUAGCUUGUUCCUAGCGGCCUUUUUAAAUGUCAAGAGAUCGCGUCCUUGCAUCAAGUCUGUCCCUACUCACAUGUGAAAACUAUCGAGAAAAGUGGAAUUUAUUUCGGGAUUUUUAUUUUUUUAUUUUUGGUGAGUGAACCUCCAGUAGAUUUAAUAGCUCAGAAAUAGCAACUGGUGCAACUUCUGGAUUGCUGCUGCUCAUCACAUGUCACAGUUUGCCGCUUUAUGCAACAGUAAAAAUAUCAUUAGAACCUUAACAAGUACCUUUGCAACAAAUCCUUUUACUGACGGCUCUCUUUGAAUCUUCGUUUGAAUUUCACUUUUCCCGGCAUUGGUAGAUGGAAAGCUUCCGGAUUCAUUUUGGAAGAAUAGAGGAAGGCGCGGACGAAGAAGGAUUCGAGGAACUCUAGUCAGUUCUAUGACGACCAUUGAUGUAACUAAGGUUUGAUCGCGGUUUGGGCUAGAAUCCCUGCCAGUUUUUAUUGUUGGAACGUAGAACAAUCGCCUAUCGUUUAUUUUUCAUUUAGCUUGUUCUGUAACGUUUUUUUUUGGCCUUUUGUUUAUGUUGGAGCAAAUGGGUGACCGAACUGAACAUACGCAUGGUGCUUUACUGCUUAUUGUAUUUGUAUUCAUUGACAGAGAACUUAUUGUAUUUGUAUUGAUGUAAAAAGAAAACAUAAGCAUGUCAGUCGAAGUAUUUAACGAAGAAAGCAACAAAAAUAUUAUUGUAUUUGUAUUGAUGUAAAAAGAAAACAUAAGCAUGUCAGUCGAAGUAUUUAACAAAGAAAACAACAAAAAUAGUUCCGUUGCCGGGACUCGAACCCGGGUCUCUCGGGUGAGAGCCGAGUAUCCUGACCAGCUAGACUACAACGGAAUGUUGUAUCUUGGGUCUUCACACAUAUAUUUCUUAAGCAUGCGUCAUGCCGCUAUCUCUGUUUAAUUUGUGUCUAAAACUUCGCCGAAACUGCGUAGGCUGUUUGUUUCUCAGAGUUUGGGGCGUCUACGUAUUUUAUUUUAAGAGAGAGAGAGAGGUAACAUAUAGGUGUUUUAAAGACCAUGUUGUUUGAGAACUAUUAGCCGUAUAGUCACUGCGUGAAAAACUUGAGACUACUACUGGGCGCCGGGUCGUAGCAGCGUGGAUGUCUCCGCCCGCUUGCUCCCCCGUGUCUCCGCCCGCGCAGGCCGACAAGCAAAAAAGCGUCUGACUUGCAUCGGCGCGUGCAGGUCAGACUCCACGCAUGUAGAAUCAAGUGUUGAGCGGUCAACUGGAUGUGGUCGGCCUGGGCGCAGCAGGCUGUCCAACUAAUCACGCCCUAUAUUACUAAAUUGAUUGGUUUACUUGAAUAACGGUGCUCUAUGUCAUACUCUUUCCAUCAUAAAUUAUAAAUCAUUUUAUUUUUUUCUAAGUGUAUGCAUUAAACUGUUCACAUAUACUAUAUACUAGCUAGUUACUCAUGCUUUGCUACGGUUUUUUAAUACCAUAAUAAAUAUGUAUUGAGAUAUUUAUUUAAAUAUAAUUACUGUUUAUUUCUACGUUGAGGUACAUGUAGUUUGUUGGUUAACCCUACAUUUCUAGAGCAUGGAGCAUGGGUUCGAUUGCUCGCUUUGUAAUAUUUUUUAUAUAAUUAUUGUUUAUUUCUAAACACCAGCGGGGUCGGUACUAUUUUUUAUAUAAUUAUUGUUUAUUUCUAAACAUCAGCGGGGUCAGGUGCUGGAUAGACGCAGUAGCUAAGAUAGCGUUGCACGGACAUGUGGGUGUACUGUUUUCUUAUAUAAUUAUUAUUUAUUUCUAAACACUAAGGUACGCGUGGUACUGUGGUUUGUGGUUUGGUGGUAGCUUCGCGGUCGGGAUCAGGUGUUGAACAGACAUAAUAGCUAAGAGAGUGUUGCACGGGCGCUAGGCGUGGGGUGUACUAUUUUUUUCUAUAAUUAUUGUUUAUUUCUAAACACUAAGGUACAUGUAGUCUGGUGAUAGCUGCGCGGCCGGGGUCGGGUGCUGGAUAGGCGCAGUAGCUGGCAGAGAGAGCGCUACGCGGGCACUGGGCGUGGGGCCCACAUGGCGCGACACUGAGGCCGAGGCGCAUGGGGCGAGAGAACCAGUCGGGACACGUGAGGCAGGCCCAGAGUGUUAGCGUGGAGGGUGAAGCCGUGUAGCAUCAGGUACCCACAUUAGGUUCUUAAUAGAGUAGUAUAUAUGUAUAAGAAAAGUUGUAUAUUUAGAAAAUUUAUAGUAUUACGAGAUCUGAAUUUUUAUACAAUAAUAUUAGACAACCAAUAAACACAAUUAUAAGGACAACUCGUAAGGGACAUCUCACCAACAUAUUGUUGAUACAUGUUCAUUUGUGAGUGAUGAGUGAUUGUCAAGAGGUUGAUCGAAACUUUUGGUUUAGUGUGUUGAGACUAACCAUAACUGAAAGGGAAAUGUGUCCUUGGGCCAUUUCUAAGUAUUUUGGUGAUUAAGUGACCAACACAAAUGGUUAUGUGUUAAACUAUGCCAAAUGGUGGACAAAGUGCAAACCAAUACAAAGGUAUGAUUCUAGACUUAGUACAUUGGUUUUUGUGUACAAACAUAUUUGUCUAAGUGCUAGAAUCAGAGAAAAGAAAAAUGGAAAAGACUUGGCUCGAGCAGCCAAGACUCUGCUCAGUCUGGGUGCACCGGACUGUCCGGUGGUGCACCGGACAGUGUCCGGUGCGCCAGGCUGUCUCUGGUGAAAUGGCCGCUCUCGGGAACUCGACGGCGGCGUACGACUAAAAAUCACCGGACUGUCCGGUGAGCCAACGGUCGGCCGCGCAAUCCGCGCGUGACGCGUGGCCGGGCCAACGGUCUGAUGGGGGCACCGGACUGUCCGGUGUGCACCGGACAGUGUCCGGUGCGCCAACGGCUCCAAAUCGUCAACGGUCGGCUACGCCAGAAUAGGAAAGAGAUCUGCACCGGACUGUCCGGUGCACCAGUCGACAGAAGGCAAGAUUUGCCUUCCUGGAUUGCUCUCAACGGCUCCUAGCUGCCUUGGGGCGGCGCAUGAAGGAGAACACCAAGCACACUCUAAGCAUUCUUGAUCAUUCACACUCCGUCUUUGCGCACUCGAUUGGCAUUCUUAGUGAUUUGAGCUCCGUGGUAGUGGUGAACCUUGUGUUAUUCAUUUGAGCUCAAGUCUUGGCUGUGUGUGUUGCUCUUCCCACUCUUACAUCUGUGCUUCUUUGUGAUCAUCUCAUUGUAAGGGCGAGAGGCUCCAAGUUGUGGAGAUUCCUCGCAAACGGGAAAAAGUAAAGAAAGAAAAACACUGUGGUAUUCAAGUUCAUCAUUGGAUCACUUGAAAGGAGUUGAGUGCAGCUCUCGUCCAUUGGGACGCCACAACGUGGACUAGGCAAGUGUUGUACUUGGCCGAACCACGGGAUAAAUCUCUGUGUCUCUUGUGCUUGUUCUCACUGUGUCAAUUGUGGUUCACAAGAGUUCUCCUUAGCCACUUGAUUUCAUUGUGCUAACACUUAAUCAAGUUUGUGGCUUUAAGUUUCAAGUUUUUACAGGAUCACCUAUUCACCCCUCUCUAGGUGCUCUCAAUUGGUAUCAGAGCCGUUCUCUUCAAGAAAGGGACUAAUCGCCCGAAGAGAUGGAUCCUAAGGAAAAGGGGAUGGUGGUCAACGACAAUGAGAAGGAGUCCAUCUUCAACGAGCCAAUGGACGACAAAGUCAAUGACUCCGGCUCAAGUCAAAAGAAGAAGGACAGAAAGAAGAAGAGACACAUCAGGAAGGUUGUCUACUACGACAGCGACGAAUCUUUCUCUUCUCAAAAGGACGACGAAUACGAGGAGAAAAAGAAAACGGUUAACUCGAACUUUUCUUUUGAUUAUUCUCGUAUUCCGCAUAAUUCCAGUGCUCAUUUGCAAAAAAUUCCAGUGCUCAUUUGCAUAAUUCCAAAAUCCGUAGUCCUCUCCAUCAAAACCUCCACACUUUGAUGGAGAGGACUACGGAUUUUGGAGUCACAAAAUGCGUAGCCACUUGUUCUCUCUUCAUCCAAGUAUAUGGGAGAUAGUAGAAAAUGGAAUGCAAUUUGAUAGUUCGGAUAACUCCAUGUUUAUUAAUGAACAAAUCCAUAAAAAUGCACAAGCUACCACUGUUCUUUUAGCAUCCUUGUGCAGGGAAGAAUACAAUAAGGUGAGCGGCUUAGAUAAUGCCAAGCAAAUCUGGGACACCCUCAAGAUCUCGCAUGAGGGGAACGAUGUCACCAUGCUCACCAAGAUGGAGUUGGUGGAAGGCGAACUAGGAAGGUUCACAAUGAUCAGGGGAGAGGAGCCAACUCAAACGUACAAUAGGCUCAAGACCCUGGUCAACAAGAUAAGAAGCUAUGGAAGCACGAGAUGGACGGACCACGACGUCGUCCGACUUAUGCUAAGGUCCUUCACUGUCCUUGAUCCUCAUCUUGUAAACUCUAUUCGUGAGAAUCAUAGGUACAUCAAGAUGACGCCCGAGGAAAUACUCGGAAAGUUUGUAAGCGGGCGAAUGAUGAUCAAGGAGGCGAGAUACGUUGAUGAGGCGUUGAAUGGCCCAAUCUACGAGCCUCAAACCAUUGCUCUCAAAGCAACAAGUAGCAGGGAGACGCUACCUAGCAAGGUGGCGCAAGUUGAGGCGGCCGGGCUAAAUGAAGAUGAAAUGACCCUCAUCAUCAAGCGCUUCAAGACGACGCUCAAAGGUCGCAAGGAGCAUCCCAACAAGAGCAAGACGAAGGGGAAGCGCUCCUGCUUCAAGUGCAGUAAGAUUGGUCACUUUAUUGCUAACUGUCCCGAUAAUGAUAGUGACCAGGAACAAGGAAAGAGUGGAAAGUGGGAAAAGAAGAAGACCUACAAAAAGGCUAAGGGCGAGGCACACCUUGGAAAGGAGUGGGAUUCGGAUUGCUCCUCGUCCGACUCCGACAACGAAGGACUCGCCGCCUCAGCCUUCAACAAGUCGGCUCUCUUCCCCAACGAGCAUCACACAUGCCUCAUGGCAAAGGAGAAGAAGGUAAAUACUAGAAGUACUAUUACAUAUGCUUCUUCAAGUGAUGAUGAGUCUAGUAAUGAUGAAGUAGACUAUGCUAGUUUAUUCAAAGGUUUAGAUAGAACUAAAAUUGAUAAGAUCAAUGAAUUAAUUGAUGCCUUGAAUGAGAAAAAUAGAUUGUUAGAAAAACAAGAGGAUCUUUUAUAUGAAGAGCAUGAUAAAUUUGUUAGUGCACAAAAUUCUCUUGUUCUAGAAGUUAAAAGAAAUGAAAUGCUUUCAUGUGAACUAUCUACAUGCCAUGAAUCUAUUUCUAACUUAAAGAGUAUUAAUGAUGACUUGAAUGCUAAGUUAGAAGUAGCUAAUAAAUCUAGCUCAUGUAUUGAUCAUGUAGUAAUUUGUAAUCGGUGUAAGGAUUUUAAUGUUGAUGCUUGUAGUGAACACUUAAUUUCCAUUUCCAAAUUAAAUGAUGAAGUGGCUAGUCUUAAUGCCCAACUUAAGACUAGCAAGAAUGAAUUUGACAAACUAAAAUUUGCAAGGGAUGCCUACACUAUUGGUAGACACUCCUCAAUCAAGGAUGGACUUGGUUUCAAAAGGGAAGUGAAAGUCGCCUAGAGGGGGGGUGAAUAGGGCGAAACUGAAAUUUACAAAAUUAAUCACAACUACAAGCCGGGUUAGCGUUAGAAAUAUAAUCGAGUCCGAGAGAGAGGGUGCAAAACAAAUCACAAGCGAAUAAAGAGUGUGACACGCGGAUUUGUUUUACCGAGGUUCGGUUCUUGCAAACCUACUCCCCGUUGAGGUGGUCACAAAGACCGGGUCUCUUUCAACCCUUUCCCUCUCUCAAACGGUCCCUCGGACCGAGUGAGCUUUUCUUCUCAAUCACUUGGAACACAAAGUUCCCACAAGGAUCACCACACGAUUGGUGUCUCUUGCCUCAAUUACAAGUGAGUUUGAUCUCAAGAAAGAAUGAGAAAGAAAGCAAUCCAAGCGCAAGAGCUCAAAAGAACACAACAAAUCACUCUCACUUAACACUAAAGCUUUUGUGGAAUUGGGAGAGGAUUUGAUCACUUGGGUGUGUCUUGCAUUGAAUGCCUAGCUCUUGUAAGUGGUUGGAAGUGUGAAAACUUGGAUGACUUGAAUGUGGGGUGGUUGGGGUUAUUUUGAACCCCAACCACCAAACUAGCCGUUUGGUGGAGGCUGCUGUCGCAUGGCGCACCGGACACUGUCCGGUGCGCCAUCCACGUCACCAGGCCAUUGGGUUCCGACCGUUGGAGUUCUGACUUGUGGGCCCGCCUGGCUGUCCGGUGGUGCACCGGACAAGUCCUGUAGACUGUCCGGUGUGCCACCCGCGCGUGCUCUGCUCCUCUGCGCGCGCUGGCGCGCAUUUAAUGUGUUGCAGACGACCGUUGGCGCGAAGUAGCCGUUGCUCCGUUGGCUCACCGGACAGUCCGGUGUGCACCGGACAUGUCCGAUGAAUUAUAGCGGAGCGGAUUUCCGAAGCUGGCGAGUUCAGAGUCGCUCUCCUCUGGAGCACCGGACACUGUCCGGUGGUGCACCGGACAGUCCGGUGAAUUAUAGCGAAGCGCCUCUGAAAAUUCCCGAAGGUGCGAAGUUUGGCUUGGAGUCCCCUGGUGCACCGGACAGUCCGGUGCGCCAGACUAGGGCUGCCUUCGGUUAUCCCUUGCUCUUUUUGUUGAACCCAUUUCUUGGUCUUUUCAUUGGCUAAGUGUGAACCUUUGGCACCUGUAUAACUUAUACACUAGAGCAAACUAGUUAGUCCAAUUAUUUGUGUUGGGCAAUUCAACCACCAAAAUUAAUUAGGAAAAUAGGUGUAAGCCUAAUUCCCUUUCAAUCUCCCCCUUUUUGGUGAUUGAUGCCAACACAAACCAAAGCAAAUAUAGAAAUGCAUAAUUGAACUAGUUUGCAUAAUGUAAGUGUGAAAGUCGCCUAGAGGGGGGGUGAAUAGGGCGAAACUGAAAUUCUCAAAAAUAAUCACAACUACAAGCCGGGUUAGCGUUAGAAAUAUAAACGAGUCCGCGAGAGAGGGAGCAAAACAAAUCGCAAGCAAAUGAAGAGUGUGACACGCGGAUUUGUUUUACCGAGGUUCGGUUCUUGCAAACCUACUCCCCGUUGAGGAGGCCACAAAGGCCGGGUCUCUUUCAACCCUUCCCUCUCUCAAACGAUCCCUCGGACCGAGUGAGCUUCUCUUCUCAAAUCACUUGGGAAUCAAACUUCCCGCAAGGGCCACCACACAAUUGGUGCCUCUCGCCUCAAUUACAAGUGAGUGUUUGAUCACAAGAAAGAAUCAAGAAAGAAGGAAGCAAUCCAAGCGCAAGAGCUCGAAAGAACACAAGCAAAUCACUCUCUCUAGUCACUAUGGCGUUGUGUGGAAUUUGGAGAUGAUUUGAUCUCUUUGGUGUGUCUAGAAUUGAAUACUAGAGCUCUUGUAGUAGUUGGGAAGUAGAGAACUUGGAUGCAAUGAAUGGUGGGGUGGUUGGGGUAUUUAUAGCCCCAACCACCAAAAGUGGCCGUUGGGAGGUUGUCUGUUUGAUGGCGCACCGGACAGUCCGGUGCACACCGGACAGUCCGGUGCCCCCUGCCACGUCAUCACUGCCGUUGGAUUCUGACCGUUGGAGCUUCUGACUUGUGGGCCCGCCUGGGUGUCCGGUGCACACCGGACAUGUACUGUUUGCUGUCCGGUGUGCCAGCAUGGGCGAUUCUGACUCCUGCGCGCGCAUUAAAUGCCGUUGCAGGUAGCCGUUGACGCGAAGUAGCCGUUGCUCCGAGGUUGCACCGGACAGUCCGGUGCACACCGGACAGUCCGGUGAAUUAUAGCCGAGUCGCCUCUGAAAAUUCUCGAAGGUGGCGAGUUUGAGUCUGAGUCCCCCUGGUGCACCGAACAUGUCCGGUGGCACACCGGACAGUCCGGUGCGCCAGACCAGGGGUGCCUUCGGUUGCCCCUUUGCUCCUUUGUUGAAUCCAAAACUUGGUCUUUUUAUUGGCUGAGUGUGAACCUUUUACACCUGUAUAAUCUAUACACUUGGGCAAACUAGUUAGUCCAAUUAUUUGUGUUGGUCAAUUCAACCACCAAAAUUAAUUAGGGACUAGGUGUAAGCCUAAUUCCCUUUCAAUCUCCCCCUUUUUGGUGAUUGAUGCCAACACAAACCAAAGCAAAUAUAGAAGUGCAUAAUUGAACUAGUUUGCAUAAUGUAAGUGUAAAGGUUGCUUGGAAUUGAGCCAAUAUAAAUACUUACAAGAUAUGCAUGGAUUGUUUCUUUCUUAUAUAACAUUUUGGACCACGCUUGCACCACAUGUUUUGUUUUUGCAAACUCUUUUGUAAAUCCUUUUCAAAGUUCUUUUGCAAAUGGUCAAAGGUAAAUGAAUAGGAUUUUGCAAAGCAUUUUCGAGAUUUGAAAUUUUCUCCCCCUGUUUCAAAUGCUUUUCCUUUGACUAAACAAAACUCCCCUAAAGGAGAUCCUCCUCUUAGUAUUCAAGAGGGUUUUGAUAUAUCAUUUUUGAAAUACUACUUUCUCCCCCUUUUGAAUACAAUAGGAUACCAAUUGAUAAAUACUCUUGGAGAACACUAAGUUUUUGAAAUGGGUGGUGGUGCGGUCCUUUUGCUUUGGGCUCAUACUCUCUCCCCCUUUGGCAUGAAUCGCCAAAAACGGAAUCAUUAGAGCCCUUAAAGUAAUGUCUUCUUCUUUGGUCAUAAAUAAGUGAGUUAAGAUUAUACCAAAGAUGAAGUCCUUUUGUUCUCUCCCCCAAAGAUGGAGAGUGGCUUGGAGCGACGGCGAAGGAUGGGUUGCGGAGUGGAAGCCUUUGUCUUCGCCGAAAACUCCAAUUCCCUUUCAAUAUACCUAUGACUUGAUUUGAAAUAGACUUGGAAACACAUUAGUCAUAGCAUAUAAAAGAGAUAUGAACAAAAGUAUAUAAAUGAGCUAUGUGUGCAAUCUAACAAAAGAAGUUGCGGGAAUCAAGAAUAUUGAGCUCAUGCCUAAGUUUGGUAAAAGUUUGUUCAUCAAGUGGCUUGGUAAAGAUAUCGGCUAAUUGAUCUUUAGUAUUAAUGUAAGCAAUCUCGAUAUCUCCCUUUUGUUGGUGAUCCCUAAGAAAAUGAUACCGAAUGGCUAUGUGCUUAGUGCGGCUAUGCUCGACGGGAUUGUCGGCCAUUUUGAUUGCACUCUCAUUAUCACAUAGCAAAGGAACUUUGGUUAAUUUGUAACCGUAGUCCCGCAGGGUUUGCCUCAUCCAUAGUAAUUGCGCGCAACAAUGACCUGCGACAAUGUACUCGGCUUCGGCGGUUGAAAGAGCGACCAAAUUUUGCUUCUUUGAAGCCCAAGACACCAAGGAUCUCCCCAAGAACUGGCAAGUCCCUGAUGUGCUCUUCCUGUUAAUCUUACACCCCGCCCAAUCGGCAUCCGAAUAACCAAUCAAAUCAAAUGUGGAUCCCCGAGGGUACCAAAGCCCAAACUUAGGAGUAUAAGCCAAAUAUCUCAAGAUUCGUUUUACGGCCGUAAGGUGGGAUUCCUUAGGGUCGGAUUGGAAUCUUGCACACAUGCAAACGGAAAGCAUAAUGUCCGGUCGAGAAGCACAUAAAUAGAGUAAGGAACCUAUCAUCGACCGGUAUACCUUUUGAUCCACAGACUUACCUCCUGUGUCGAGGUCGAGAUGCCCAUUGGUUCCCAUGGGUGUCUUGAUGGGCUUGGCAUCUUUCAUCCCAAACUUGCUUAGAAUAUCUUGAGUAUACUUCGUUUGGCUAAGGAAGGUGCCCUCUUGGAGUUGCUUCACUUGAAAUCCUAAGAAAUACUUCAACUCCCCCAUCAUAGACAUCUCGAAUUUCUGUGUCAUGAUCCUACUAAAUUCCUCACAAGUAGAUUCGUUAGUAGACCCAAAUAUGAUAUCAUCAACAUAAAUUUGGCAUACAAACAAAUCAUUGUCAAGAGUUUUAGUGAAUAGAGUAGGAUCGGCCUUGCCGACUUUGAAGCCAUUAGCGAUAAGGAAAUCUCUAAGGCAUUCAUACCAUGCUCUUGGGGCUUGCUUGAGCCCAUAAAGCGCCUUAGAGAGCUUAUAGACAUGGUUAGGGUACUUACUAUCUUCAAAGCCGGGAGGUUGCUCAACAUAGACCUCUUCCUUGAUUGGUCCAUUGAGGAAAGCACUUUUCAUGUCCAUUUGAUAAAGCUUAAAGCCAUGGUAAGUAGCAUAGGCUAAUAAUAUGCGAAUUGACUCAAGCCUAGCUACGGGUGCAUAGGUUUCACCGAAAUCCAAACCUUCGACUUGGGAGUAUCCUUUGGCCACAAGUCGAGCUUUGUUCCUUGUCACCACACCAUGCUCAUCUUGCUUGUUGCGGAAGACCCAUUUGGUUCCUACAACAUUUUGGUUAGGACGUGGAACUAAGUGCCAUACCUCGUUCCUUGUGAAAUUGUUGAGCUCCUCUUGCAUCGCCACCACCCAAUCCAAAUCUUGUAGUGCUUCCUCUACCCUGUGUGGCUCAAUAGAGGAAACAAACGAGUAAUGCUCACAAAAAUGUGCAACACGAGAUCUAGUAGUUACCCCCUUAUGAAUGUCGCCGAGGAUAGUGUCGACGGGGUGAUCUCGUUGUAUUGCUUGGUGGACUCUUGGGUGUGGCGGCCUUUGCUCUUCAUCCUCCUUGUCUUGAUCAUUUGCAUCUCCCCCUUGAUCAUUGCGGUCAUCUUGAGGUGGCUCAUUUGCUUGAUCUUCUACUUCAUCAACUUGAGCUUCAUCCUCAUUUUGAGUUGAUGGAGAUGCUUGAGUGGAGGAGGAUGGUUGAUCUUGUGCAUUUGGAGGCUCCUUGGAUUCCUUAGGACACACAUCCCCAAUGGACAUGUUCCUUAGCGCGAUGCACGGAGCCUCUUCAAUACCUAUCUCAUCAAGAUCAACUUGCUCUACUUGAGAGCCGUUAGUUUCAUCAAACACAACGUCACAUGAGACUUCAACUAGUCCAGUGGACUUGUUAAAGACCCUAUAUGCCCUUGUGUUUGAGUCAUAACCAAGUAAAAAGCCUUCUACAGUUUUAGGAGCAAAUUUAGAUUUUCUACCUCUUUUAACAAGAAUAAAGCAUUUGCUACCAAAAACUCUAAAAUAUGAAAUGUUGGGCUUUUUACCGGUUAGGAGUUCAUAGGAUGUCUUCUUGAGGAUUCGGUGAAGAUAUAACCGGUUGAUGGCGUAGCAAGCGGUGUUGACUGCCUCGACCCAAAACCGAUCCGAAGUCUUGUACUCAUCAAGCAUGGUCCUUGCCAUGCCCAAUAGAGUUCGAUUCUUCCUCUCCACUACACCAUUUUGUUGAGGGGUGUAGGGAGAAGAGAACUCAUGCUUGAUGCCCUCCUCCUCAAGAAAGCCUUCAAUUUGAGAGUUCUUGAACUCCGUCCCGUUGUCGCUUCUUAUUUUCUUGAUCCUUAAGCCGAACUCAUUUUGAGCACGUCUCAAGAAUCCCUUUAAGGUCUCUUGGGUUUGAGAUUUUUCCUGUAAAAAGAAUACCCAAGUGAAGCGAGAAUAAUCAUCCACAAUAACUAGACAGUACUUACUCCCGCCGAUGCUUAUGUAAGCAAUCGGGCCGAAUAGAUCCAUGUGUAGGAGCUCCAGUGGCCUGUCGGUCGUCAUGAUGUUCUUGUGUGGAUGAUGAGCUCCAACUUGCUUCCCUGCCUGGCACGCGCUACAAAUCCUGUCUUUCUCAAAAUGAACAUUUGUUAAUCCUAAAAUGUGAUCUCCCUUUAGAAGCUUAUGAAGAUUCUUCAUUCCAACAUGGGCUAGUCGGCGGUGCCAGAGCCAACCCAUGUUAGUCUUAGCAAUUAAGCAAGUGUCGAGUUCAGCUCUAUCAAAAUCUACUAAGUAUAGCUGACCCUCUAACACUCCCUUAAAUGCUAUUGAAUCAUCACUUCUUCUAAAGACAGUGACACCUACAUCAGUGAAUAGACAGUUGUAGCCCAUUUGACAUAAUUGUGAAACGGAAAGCAAAUUGUAAUCUAAAGAAUCUACAAGAAAAACAUUGGAAAUAGAAUGGUCAGGAGAUAUAGCUAUUUUACCAAGACCUUUGACCAAACCUUGAUUUCCAUCCCCGAAUGUGAUCGCUCGUUGGGGAUCUUGGUUUUUCUCAUAUGAGGAGAACAUCUUUUUCUCCCCUGUCAUGUGGUUUGUGCACCCGCUGUCGAGUAUCCAACUUGAGCCCCCGGAUGCAUAAACCUACAAAACAAUUUUAGUUCUUGACUUUAGGUACCCAAACGGUUUUGGGUCCUUUGGCAUUAGACACAAGAACUUUGGGUACCCAAACACAAGUCUUUGACCCCUUGUGUUUGCCCCUAACAAACUUGGCAACUACCUUGCCGGAUUUGUUAGUAAGCACAUAAGAAGCAUCAAAAGUUUUAAAUGAAAUGGCAUGAUCAUUUGAUGCAUUAGGAGUUUUCUUUCUAGGCAACUUGGCACGGGUUGGUUGCCUAGAGCUAGAUGUCUCACCCUUAUACAUAAAAGCAUGAUUAGGGCCAGAGUGAGACUUCCUAGAAUGAAUUUUCCUAAUUUUGCUCUCAGGAUAGCCGGCAGGGUACAAAAUGUAGCCCUCGUUAUCCUGAGGCAUGGGAGCCUUUCCCUUAACAAAGUUAGACAAGUUCUUAGGAGGAGCAUUAAGUUUGUCAUUGUCUCCCCUUUGGAAGCCAAUGCCAUCCUUAAUGCCAGGGCGUCUCCCAUUAUAAAGCAUGCUACGAGCAAAUUUAAAUUUCUCAUUUUCUAAGUUGUGCUCGGCAAUUUUAGCAUCUAGUUUUGCUAUAUGAUCAUUUUGUUGUUUAAUUAAAGACAUGUGAUCAUGAAUAGCAUUAACAUCAAUAUCUCUACAUCUAUCACAAAUAGACACAUGCUCAAUAAUAGAUGUAGAGGGUUUGCAAGAAUUAAGUUCAACAAUCUUAGCACGUAAUAUAUCAUUUUUAUCUCUAAGAUCGGAAAUAGUGACAUUGCAAACAUCAAAAUCUUUAGCCUUAGCAAUCAAAUUAUCAUUUUCUACUCUAAGGCUAACAAGAGAAGUGUUUAAUUCUUCAAUCCUAGCAAGCAAAUCAUCUUUAUUAUCUCUAGGAUUGGGAAUUGAAAUAUUACAAACAUGUGAAUCAACCUUAGCAUUUAAACUAGCAUUUUCAUUCCUAAGGUUGUCAACCAUCUCACGACAAGUGCUUAGCUCAUUAGAUAAUUUUUCACAUUUCUCAAUUUCUAGAGCAUAAGCAUUUUUAACCUUAACAUGCUUUUUAUUUUCCUUGAUUAGGAAGUCCUCUUGGGAGUCCAAGAGACCAUCCUUCUCAUGGAUGGCACUAAUUAAUUCAUUUAAUUUUUCCUUUUGUUGCAUGUUAAGGUUGGCAAAAAGAGAGCGCAAGUUAUCUUCCUCAUCACUAGCAUUAUCAUCACUAGAGGAUUCAUAUUUAGUGGAGGAUUUAGAUUUAACCUUCUUUUUGCCGUCCUUUGCCAUGAGGCACUUGUGGCCGACGUUGGGGAAGAGGAGUCCCUUGGUGACGGCGAUGUUGGCGGCGUCCUCGUCGUCGGAGGAGUCGCUAGAGCUUUCGUCGGAGUCCCACUCCCGACAAACAUGGGCAUCGCCGCCCUUCUUCUUGUAGUACCUCUUCUUCUCCUUUCUUCUCCCCUUCUUGUCGUCGUCCCUGUCACUAUCACUUGAUAAUGGACAUUUAGCAAUAAAGUGAUCGGGCUUACCACACUUGUAGCAAACCUUCUUGGAGCGGGACUUGUAGUCUCUCCCUUUCCUUUGCUUGAGGAUUUGGCGGAAGCUCUUGAUGACGAGCGCCAUUUCCUCAUUGUCGAGCUUGGAGGCGUCUAUAGGUUGUCGACUUGGUGUAGCCUCCUCCUUCUUUUCCUCCGUCGCCUUGAAUGCGACGGGUUGAGCUUCGGAUGUGGAAGGAUCAUCAAGCUCGUUGAUCUUCCUCGAGCCUUCGAUCAUGCACUCAAAACUUACAAAAUUUCCGAUAAAUUCCUCGGGGGUCAUUUUAGUAUAUCUAGGAUUACCACGAAUUAAUUGAACUUGAGUGGGGUUAAGGAAAAUGAGAGAUCUUAGAAUAACCUUAACCAUUUCGUGGUCGUCCCACUUCGUGCUCCCGAGGUUGCGCACUUGGUUCACCAAAGUCUUGAGCCGGUUGUACAUGUGUUGUGGCUCAUCUCCUUCGUGCGCGGUUUUGAGCACAUCCCAAACUUCCUUGGCGCUCUUCAACCCUUGAACUUUGUUAUACUCCUCUCUACUUAAAGAGGCGAGGAGUAUUGUUGUUGCUUGAGAGUUGAAGUGCUCGAUUUGGGCCACCUCAUCCUCAUCAUAGUCUUUAUCCCCUACGGAUGGUACCUGUGCACCAAAUUCAACAACAUCCCAUAUACUUUUGUGGAGUGAGGUUAGAUGAAAUCGCAUUAAAUCACUCCACCUAGCAUAAUCUUCACCAUCAAAAGUUGGUGGUUUGCCUAAUGGGACGGAAAGUAAAGGUGCAUUUUUAGAAAUGCGAGGGUAAUGUAGGGGGAUCUUACUAAACUUCUUACGCUCUUGGCAUUUAGAAGUUACGGAGGGCGCAUCGGAGCCGGAGGUCGAUGUUGAUGAAGUGUCGGUCUCGUAGUAGACCACUUUCCUCAUCCUUUUGUGCUUGUCCCCUCUCCGAUGUGGCUUGUGGGAGGAAGAUCUCUCCUUCUUCUCUUUGUGGUGCGAAGAAGAUUUCUUCUCCUUCCCUUUGUUGGAGGAGCUCUUCUUCUUCUCCUUCCUCUUGGUGCGGGACUCUUCCGAUGAAGUGCUCCCGUGGCUUGUAGUGGGCUUUUCGCCGGUCUCCAUCUCCUUCUUGGCGUGAUCUCCCGACAUCACUUCGAGCGGUUAGGCUCUAAUGAAGCACCGGGCUCUGAUACCAAUUGAAAGUCGCCUAGAGGGGGGGUGAAUAGGGCGAAACUGAAAUUCUCAAAAAUAAUCACAACUACAAGCCGGGUUAGCGUUAGAAAUAUAAACGAGUCCGCGAGAGAGGGAGCAAAACAAAUCGCAAGCAAAUGAAGAGUGUGACACGCGGAUUUGUUUUACCGAGGUUCGGUUCUUGCAAACCUACUCCCCGUUGAGGAGGCCACAAAGGCCGGGUCUCUUUCAACCCUUCCCUCUCUCAAACGAUCCCUCGGACCGAGUGAGCUUCUCUUCUCAAAUCACUUGGGAAUCAAACUUCCCGCAAGGGCCACCACACAAUUGGUGCCUCUCGCCUCAAUUACAAGUGAGUGUUUGAUCACAAGAAAGAAUCAAGAAAGAAGGAAGCAAUCCAAGCGCAAGAGCUCGAAAGAACACAAGCAAAUCACUCUCUCUAGUCACUAUGGCGUUGUGUGGAAUUUGGAGAGGAUUUGAUCUCUUUGGUGUGUCUAGAAUUGAAUACUAGAGCUCUUGUAGUAGUUGGGAAGUAGAGAACUUGGAUGCAAUGAGUGGUGGGGUGGUUGGGGUAUUUAUAGCCCCAACCACCAAAAGUGGCCGUUGGGAGGCUGUCUGUUUGAUGGCGCACCGGACAGUCUGGUGCACACCGGACAGUCCGGUGCCCCCUGCCACGUCAUCACUGCCGUUGGAUUCUGACCGUUGGAGCUUCUGACUUGUGGGCCCGCCUGGGUGUCCGGUGCACACCGGACAUGUACUGUUUGCUGUCCGGUGUGCCAGCAUGGGCGAUUCUGACUCCUGCGCGCGCUGCGCGCGCAUUAAAUGCCGUUGCAGGUAGCCGUUGACGCGAAGUAGCCGUUGCUCCGAGGUUGCACCGGACAGUCCGGUGCACACCGGACAGUCCGGUGAAUUAUAGCCGAGUCGCCUCUGAAAAUUCCCGAAGGUGGCGAGUUUGAGUCUGAGUCCCCCUGGUGCACCGAACAUGUCCGGUGGCACACCGGACAGUCCGGUGCGCCAGACCAGGGGUGCCUUCGGUUGCCCCUUUUCUCCUUUGUUGAAUCCAAAACUUGGUCUUUUUAUUGGCUGAGUGUGAACCUUUUACACCUGUAUAAUCUAUACACUUGGGCAAACUAGUUAGUCCAAUUAUUUGUGUUGGUCAAUUCAACCACCAAAAUUAAUUAGGGACUAGGUGUAAGCCUAAUUCCCUUUCAAAGUGCAAAAGGUUACUUGGAAUUGAGCUAAUAUAAAUACUUGUAGAAUACACAUGGAUUGUUUCUUUUAUUUUUAACAUUUUGGACCACACUUGCACCACAUGUUUUGUUUUUGCAAAUUCUUUUGUAAAUUCUUUUCAAAGUCCUUUUGCAAAUAGUCAAAGGUAAAUGAAUAAGACUUUGCGAAGCAUUUUCAAGAUUUGAAAUUUUCUCCUCCUGUUUCAAAUGCUUUUCCUUUGACUUAAACAAAACUCCCCCUUACUGAAAUUCUCCUCUUAGUGUUCAAGAGGGUUUUAAGAUAUUGAUUUUGAAAAUCUACUCUCUCCCCUUUUUGAACACAAGGAGAAACCAAAUUGAAAAAUUCAUAUCAAUCGGAAAAUUCUUUUUAAAAUUAGGUGGUGGUGCGGUCCUUUUGCUUUGGGCUAAUACUUUCUCCCCCUUUGGCAUGAAUCGCCAAAAACGGAUACUUGAGUGAAAUAUAAGCCCUUUUCUAACUACUUUCUCUCCUUUGGCAAAUAAAAUAUGAGUGAAGAUUAUACCAAAGACGGAGAGAUGCUCGGAGCGAUGGCGAAGGAUGAGUGACGUAGUGGAAGCCUUUGUCUUUGCCGAAGACUCCAAUUCCCUUUCAAUAUACCUAUGACUUGGUUUGAAAUUUACUUGAAAACACAUUAGUCAUAGCACAUGAAAGAGACAUGAUCAAAGGUAUAUGAAUGAGCUAUGUGUGCAAAUCAACAAAAGAAGUUCCUAGAAUCAAGAAUAUUUAGCUCAUGCCUAAGUUUGUUAAAAGUUUGUUCAUCAAGUGGCUUGGUAAAGAUAUCGGCUAAUUGAUCUUUAGUGUUAAUAUAUGCAAUCUCGAUAUCUCCCUUUUGUUGGUGAUCCCUUAGAAAAUGAUACCGAAUGGCUAUGUGUUUAGUGCGGCUAUGCUCAACGGGAUUAUCCGCCAUGCGGAUUGCACUCUCAUUAUCACAUAGAAGAGGAACUUUGGUUAAUUUGUAACCGUAGUCCCUAAGGGUUUGCCUCAUCCAAAGUAGUUGCGCGCAACAAUGGCCUGCGGCAAUGUACUCGGCUUCGGCGGUAGAAAGAGCGACAGAAUUUUGCUUCGUUGAAGCCCAAGACACCAAGGAUCUUCCCAAGAACUGGCAAGUCCCCGAUGUGCUCUUUCUAUUAAUCUUACACCCCGCCCAAUCGGCAUCGGAAUAAGCAAUCAAAUCAAAAGUGGAUCCCCGAGGGUACCAAAGCCCAAACUUAGGAGUAUAAGCCAAAUAUCUCAAGAUUCGUUUUACGGCCGUAAGGUGAGCUUCCUUAGGGUCGGCUUGGAAUCUUGCACACAUGCAUACAGAAAGCAUAAUAUCCGGUCGAGAUGCACAUAAGUAGAGUAAAGAACCUAUCAUCGACCGGUAUACCUUUUGAUCCACGGACUUACCUUCCGUGUCGAGGUCGAGAUGCCCAUUGGUUCCCAUGGGUGUCUUGAUGGGUUUGGCAUCCUUCAUCCCAAACUUACUUAGGAUAUCUUGAGUAUACUUUGUUUGGCUAAUGAAGGUGCCCUCUUGGAGUUGCUUUACUUGAAAUCCUAAGAAGUACUUCAACUCCCCCAUCAUUGACAUCUCGAAUUUUUGUGUCAUGAUCCUACUAAAUUCUUCACAUGUAGAUUCGUUAGUAGACCCAAAUAUAAUAUCAUCAACAUAAAUUUGGCAUACAAACAAAUCAUUGUCAAGAGUUUUAGUGAAUAGAGUAGGAUCGGCCUUUCUGACUUUGAAGCCAUUAGUGAUAAGGAUAUCUCUAAGGCAUUCAUACCAUGCUCUUGGGGCUUGCUUGAGCCCAUAAAGCGCCUUAGAGAGUUUAUAAACAUGGUUAGGGUACUCACUAUCUUCAAAGCCGAGAGGUUGCUCAACAUAGACCUCUUCCUUGAUUGGUCCAUUGAGGAAGGCACUCUUCACAUCCAUUUGGUAAAGCUUGAAGCCAUGGUAAGUAGCAUAGGCCAAUAAUAUACGAAUUGACUCAAGCCUAGCUACGGGUGCAUAGGUUUCACCGAAAUCCAAACCUUCGACUUGGGAGUAUCCUUUGGCCACAAGUCAAGCUUUGUUCCUUGUCACCACACCAUGCUCGUCUUGCUUGUUCGGAAGACCCAUUUGGUUCCUACAACAUUUUGAUUAGGACGUGGAACCAAAUGCCAUACCUCGUUCCUAGUGAAGUUGUUGAGCUCCUCUUGCAUCGCCACCACCCAAUCUGAAUCUUGAAGUGCUUCCUCUACCCUAUGUGGCUCAAUAGAGGAAACAAAAGAGUAAUGUUCACAAAAAUGAGCAACACGAGAUCUAGUGGUUACCCCCUUAUGAAUGUCGCCAAGGAUGGUGUCGACGGGGUGAUCUCGUUGGAUUGCUUGAUGGACUCUUGGAUGUGGCGGCCUUUGUUCUUCAUCCUCCUUGUCUUGAUCAUUUGCAUCUCCCCCUUGAUCAUUGCCAUCAUCUUGAGGUGGCUCAUUUGCUUGAUCUUGUACUUCAUCAACUUGAGCUUCAUCCUCAUUUUGAGUUGGUGGAGAUGCUUGCGUGGAGGAGGAUGGUUGAUCUUGUGCAUUUGGAGGCUCUUCGGAUUCCUUAGGACACACAUCCCCAAUGGACAUGUUCCUUAAUGCGAAGCAUGGAGCCUCUUCAUCACCUAUCUCAUCAAGAUCAACUUGCUCUACUUGAGAGCCGUUAGUUUCAUCAAACACAACGUCACAAGAAACUUCAACUUGUCCAGAGGACUUGUUAAAGACUCUAUAUGCCCUUGUGUUUGAAACAUAUCCUAAUAAAAAGUCUUCUACAAUCUUAGGAGCAAAUUUAGAUUUUCUACCUCUUUUAACAAGAAUAAAGAAUUUGCUACCAAAGACUCUAAAAUAUGAAAUAUUGGGCUUUUUACCGGUUAAGAGUUCAUACGAUGUCUUCUUGAGGAUUCGGUGUAGAUACAACCGGCUGAUGGCGUAGCAGGCGGUGUUGACCGCCUCGGCCCAAAACCGAUCCGAAGUCUUGUACUCAUCAAGCAUGGUUCUUGCCAUGUCCAAUAGAGUUCUAUUCUUCCUUUCCACUACACCAUUUUGUUGUGGCGUGUAGGGAGAAGAGAACUCAUGCUUGAUGCCCUCCUCCUCAAGAAAGCCUUCGAUUUGUGAGUUCUUGAACUCCGUCCCGUUGUCGCUUCUAAUUUUCUUGAUCCUUAAGCCGAACUCGUUUUGAGCCCGUCUCAAGAAUCCCUUUAAGGUUUCUUGGGUAUGAUAUUUUUCCUGCAAAAAGAAUACCCAAGUGAAGCGAGAAUAAUCAUCCACAAUAACUAGACAGUACUUACUCCCGCCGAUGCUUAUAUAAGCUAUCGGGCCGAAUAAAUCCAUGUGUAGGAGCUCUAGUGGCCUGUUAGUCGUCAUGAUGUUCUUGUGUGGAUGAUGGGCACCAACUUGCUUCCCUGCUUGGCAUGCGCUACAAAUCCUGUCUUUCUCAAAAUGAACAUUUGUUAAUCCUAAAAUAUGCUCUCCCUUUAGAAGCUUAUGAAGAUUCUUCAUCCCAACAUGGGCCAGUCGGCGGUGCCGGAGCCAACCCAUGUUAGUCUUAGCAAUUAAGCAUGUGUCGAGUUCAGCUCUAUCAAAAUCUACUAAGUAUAGCUGACCCUCUAACACACCCUUAAAUGCUAUUGAAUCAUCACUUCUUCUAAAGACAGUGACACCUACAUCAGUAAAAAGACAGUUGUAGCCCAUUUUGCAUAAUUGAGAAACGAAAAGCAAAUUGUAAUCUAAUGAAUCUACAAGAAAAACAUUGGAAAUAGAAUGGUCAGGAGAUAUAGCAAUUUUACCCAAUCCUUUGACCAAACCUUGGUUACCAUCCCCGAAUGUGAUAGCUCGUUGGGGAUCUUGGUUUUUCUCGUAGGAGGAGAACAUCUUCUUCUCCCCAGUCAUGUGGUUUGUGCACCCGCUAUCGAUGAUCCAACUUGAGCCCCCGGAUGCAUAAACCUACAAAACAAUUUUAGUUCUUGACUUUAGGUACCCAAAUGGUUUUUGGGUCCUUUGGCAUUAGACAUAAGAACUUUGGGUACCCAAACACAAGUCGUUGACCCCUUGUGCUUGCCCCCGACAUACUUGGCCACUACCUUGCCGGAUUUGUUAGUUAAGACAUAUGAUGCAUUAAAAGUUUUAAAUGAAAUGCUAUGGUCAUUUGAUGCACUAGGAGUUUUCUUCUUAGGCAACUUAGCACGGGUUGGUUGCCUAGAACUAGAUGUCUCACCCUUAUACAUAAAAGCAUGCUUAGGGCUAGAGUGAGACUUACUAGAAUGAAUUCUUCUAGUUUUGCUCUCAGGAUAACCGGCAGGAUACAAAAUGUAACCCUCGUUAUCUUGAGGCAUGGGAGCCUUGCCCUUAACAAAGUUAGAUAAUUUCUUAGGAGGGGGCAUUAAGUUUGACAUUGUUCCCCUUUUGGAAGCCAAUGCCAUCCUUGAUGCCAGAGCGUCUCCCACUAUAAAGCAUACUACGAGCAAAUUUAAUUUUUUCAUUUUCAAGUUCAUGCUCGGCAAUUUUAGCAUCUAAUUUUGCUAUAUGAUCAUUUUGUUGUUUAAUUAAAACCAUGUGAUCAUGAAUAGCAUUAAUAUCAAUAUCUCUACAUCUAGUACAAAUAGAAGUGUGCUCAACGGUAGAUGUAGAUGGUUUGUAAGAUUUUAAUUCUACAACCUUAGCAUGCAAUAUAUCAUUUUUACUUCUAAGGUCGGAAAUGGUAGAAUUGCAAACAUCAAAAUCUUUAGCCUUAGCAAGCAAUUUUUCAUUUUCAUUUCUAAGGCUAGCAAGGGAAAUGUCCAAUUCUUCAAUCUUAGCAAGCAAAUCAUCAUUAUCAUUUCUAGGAUUGGGAAUUGAAACAUUACAAACAUUUGAAUCAACCUUAGCUAACAAAUUAGCAUUUUCAUUUCUAAGGUUGUCAAUAGUCUCAUGGCAAGUGCUUAGCUCACUAGAUAAUUUUUCGCACUUUUCUACUUCUAGAGCAUAAGCAUUUUUAACCUUAACAUGCUUCUUGUUUUCUUUAAUAAGGAAGUCCUCUUGGGAGUCCAAGAGGUCAUCCUUUUCAUGGAUAGCACUAAUCAAUUCAUUUAAUUUUUCCUUUUGUUGUAUGUUUAGGUUGGCGAAAAGAGUACGCAAAUUAUCCUCCUCAUCACUAGCAUUAUCAUCACUAGAGGACUCAUAUUUAGUGGAGGAUUUGGAUUUAACCUUCUUCUUUUUGCCGUCCUUUGCCAUGAGGCACUUGUGGCCGACGUUGAGGAAGAGAAGACCCUUGUUGAUGGCGAUGUUGGCGGCAUCCUCGUCGGAGGAGGAGUCGGAGGAGCUCUCGUCCGAGUCCCACUCGCGGCAUACAUGGGCGUCGCCACCCUUCUUCUUGUAGUAUUUCUUCUUCUCCUUUCUUCUCCCCUUCUUGUCGUCGCCCCUGUCACUGUCACUAGAAAUAGGACAUUUUGCUAUAAAGUGACCGGGCUUACCACACUUGUAGCAAACCUUCUUGGAGCGGGGCUUGUAAUCUUUCCCCCUCCUUUGCUUGAGGAUUUGGCGAAAGCUCUUGAUGACGAGCGCCAUUUCCUCGUUGUCGAGCUUUGAGGCAUCGAUCGGUUGUCUACUCGGUGUAGACUCCUCCUUCUUCUCCUCCGUCGCCUUAAAUGCGACGGGUUGUGCUUCGGAUGUGGAGGGAUCAUCUAGCUCAUUGAUUUUCUUUGAGCCCUUGAUCAUGUACUCAAAGCUCACAAAAUUCCCGAUUACUUCCUCGGGAGUCAUUAGUGUAUAUCUAGGAUUACCACGAAUUAAUUGAACUUGAGUAGGGUUAAGGAAAAUAAGUGAUCUAAGAAUAACCUUAACCAUCUCGUGGUCAUCCCACUUUUUGCUCCCGAGGUUGCGCACUUGGUUCACCAAGGUUUUGAGCCGGUUGUACAUGUCUUGUGGCUCUUCCCCUUUGUGAAGCCGGAAGCGACCGAGCUCCCCCUCGAUCGUCUCUCGCUUGGUGAUCUUGGUUAGCUCAUCUCUCUCGUGCGCGGUUUUGAGCACGUCCCAAACUUCCUUGGCGCUCUUUAAUCCUUGCACCUUGUUGUACUCCUCUCUACUUAAAGAGGCGAGGAGUAUUGUUGUGGCUUGGGAGUUGAAGUGCUCAAUUUGAGCCACCUCGUCCUCAUCAUAAUCUUCAUCCCCCACGGAUGGUACCUGUACACCAAACUCAACGACAUCCCAUAUACUUUUGUGGAGUGAGGUUAGAUGAAAUCGCAUUAAAUCACUCCACCUUGCAUAAUCUUCACCAUCAAAAGUUGGUGGUUUGCCUAAUGGGACGGAAAGUAAAGGCGUAUGUUUAGGAAUGCGAGGAUAGCGUAAGGGGAUCUUACUAAACUUCUUGCGCUCAUGGCGCUUAGAAGUUACGGAUGGCGCGUCGGAGCCGGAGGUGGAAGGUGAUGAAGUAUCGGUCUCGUAGUAGACCACCUUCCUCAUCUUCUUUUUCUUGUCGCCACUCCGAUGCGACUUGUGGGAAGAGGCUUUCUUCUCCUUCCCCUUCCCCUUUUUGCGGGACUCUUCCGAUGAAGCCUUCCCGUGGCUUGUAGUGGGCUUGUCGCCGGUCUCCAUCUCCUUCUUGGCGUGAUCUCCCGACAUCACUUCGAGCGGUUAGGCUCUAAUGAAGCACCAGGCUCUGAUACCAAUUGAAAGUUGCCUAGAGGGGGGGUGAAUAGGGCGAAACUGAAAUUUACAAAAUUAAUCACAACUACAAGCCGGGUUAGCGUUAAAAAUAUAAUCGAGACCGAGAGAGAGGGUGCAAAACAAAUCGCAAGCGAAUAAAGAGUGUGACACGCGGAUUUGUUUUACCGAGGUUCGGUUCUUGCAAACCUACUCCCCGUUGAGGUGGUCACAAAGACCGGGUCUCUUUCAACCCUUUCCCUCUCUCAAACGGUCCCUCGGACCGAGUGAGCUUUUCUUCUCAAUCACUUGGAACACAAAGUUCCCACAAGGAUCACCACAUGAUUGGUGUCUCUUGCCUCAAUUACAAGUGAGUUUGAUCUCAAGAAAGAAUGAGAAAGAAAGCAAUCCAAGCGCAAGAGCUCAAAAGAACACAACAAAUCACUCUCACUUAACACUAAAGCUUUUGUGGAAUUGGGAGAGGAUUUGAUCACUUGGGUGUGUCUUGCAUUGAAUGCCUAGCUCUUGUAAGUGGUUGGAAGUGUGAAAACUUGGAUGACUUGAAUGUGGGGUGGUUGGGGUUAUUUUGUAACCCCAACCACCAAACUAGCCGUUUGGUGGAGGCUGUUGUCGCAUGGCGCACCGGACAGUCCGGUGCGCCACCGGACACUGUCCGGUGCGCCAGCCACGUCACCAGGUCGUUGGGUCCCGACCGUUGGAGUUCUGACUUGUGGGCCCGCUUGGCUGUCCGGUGGUGCACCGGACAAGUCCUGUAGACUGUCCGUUGUGCCACCCACGCAUGCUCUGCUCCUCUGCGCGCGCUGGCGCGCAUUUAAUGCGUUGUAGACGACCGUUGGCGCGAAGUAGCCGUUGCUCCGUUGGCUCACCGGACAUGUCCGGUGAAUUAUAGCGAAGCGGAUUUCCGAAGCUGGCGAGUUCAGAGUCGCUCUCCUCUGGAGCACCGGACACUGUCCGGUGGUGCACCGGACAGUCCGGUGAAUUAUAGCGAAGCGCCUCUGAAAAUUCCUGAAGGUGCGAAGUUUGGCUUGGAGUCCCCUGGUGCAUCGGACACUGUCCGGUGGCACACCGGACAGUCCGAUGCGCCAGACCAGAGCUGCCUUUGGUUAUCCCUUGCUCUUUUUGUUGAACCCAUUUCUUGGUCUUUUCAUUGGCUAAGUGUGAACCUUUGGCACCUGUAUAACUUAUACACUAGAGCAAACUAGUUAGUCCAAUUAUUUGUGUUGGGCAAUUCAACCACCAAAAUUAAUUAGGAAAAUAGGUGUAAGCCUAAUUCCCUUUCAGGAAGCCAAGAACUUAACAAGCCAAAGGACUCCCACUUUCACAAAGGAGAAAGGGAAGGCCCCUAUGGCUAAUAGUGCUCAAAAGAAUCAUGCAUUUAUUUAUGAUAGAAAAUUUUCUAGAAAUGUUCAUCAUGAUAGGAGUUACAAUGCUUAUGAAUCAAAUGCCAUGUUUGCUUCAAGUUCUUCCUUUUUGCAUGGUAGAGAUAUGCCUAGGAGAAAUGUUGUUCAUGUACCUAGAAAAUCAAGUAAUGAACCUUCUACAAUUUAUCAUGCUUGCAAUGCUUCUUUUGCAAUUUGUAGGAAGAAUAAGAAAGUGAUUGCUAGGAAAUUAGGGGCAAAAUGCAAGGGAGAAAAAACUUGCAUUUGGGUCCCUAAGACUAUUGUUACUAACCUUGUAGGACCCAACACAAGUUGGGUACUAAGACCCAAGCUUAAAUUUGCCUUGCAGGUUUAUGCAUCCGGGGGCUCAAGCUGGAUUAUCGACAGCGGAUGCACAAACCACAUGACGGGGGAGAAGAAGAUGUUCACCUCCUAUGUCAAGAACAAGGAUUCCCAAGAUUCAAUCAUAUUCGGUGAUGGGAACCAAGGCAAGGUUAAAGGUCUAGGAAAGAUUGCGAUUUCAUCCGAACACUCCAUUUCUAAUGUGUUUUUAGUUGAGUCGCUCGGGUAUAACUUGUUGUCCGUUAGUCAACUUUGUAAUAUGGGUUGUAAUUGCUUAUUCAAAAAUGUAGAUGUGUCUGUCUUUAGAAGAAGUGAUGGUUCAUUAGCUUUUAAGGGUGUACUAGACGACAAACUUUAUUUAGUUGAUUUUGCAAAAGAGGAGGCCGGUCUAGAUGCAUGCUUAAUUGCUAAGACUAGCAUGGGCUGGCUGUGGCAUCGUCGUUUAGCACAUGUGGGGAUGAAGAACCUUCACAAACUUCUAAACGGAGAACAUGUGUUAGGUCUAACAAAUGUUACUUUCGAAAAAGAUAGACCUUGUGUAGCUUGUCAAGCAGGUAAACAAGUGGGAAAUGCUCAUCACAGCAAGAACGUGAUGACAACAUCAAGACCCGUGGAGCUGCUGCAUAUGGACCUCUUUGGACCCGUCGCCUACCUUAGCAUCGGGGGAAGUAAGUAUGGUUUAGUAAUUGUUGAUGAUUUUUCCCGCUUCACUUGGGUAUUCUUUUUGCAGGAUAAAUCUGAAACCCAAGGGACCCUCAAGCGCUUCCUAAGGAGAGCUCAAAAUGAAUUUGAGCUCAAGGUGAAGAAGAUAAGGAGAGACAACGGGUCCGAGUUCAAGAACCUUCAAGUGGAGGAGUACCUUGAGGAGGAAGGAAUCAAGCACGAGUUCUCCGCUCCCUACACACCACAGCAAAACGGUGUGGUAGAGAGGAAGAACAUGACGCUCAUCGACAUGGCGAGGACGAUGCUUGGAGAGUUGAAGACACCUGAGAGGUUUUGGUCGGAAGCCGUGAACACGGCUUGCCACGCCAUAAACCGGGUCUACCUUCAUCGCCUCCUCAAGAAGACUUCGUAUGAGCUUCUAACCGGUAACAAACCCAAUGUUUCAUACUUUCGUGUAUUUGGGAGUAAAUGCUACAUUCUAGUGAAGAAAGGUAGGAAUUCUAAAUUUGCUCCCAAAGCUGUAGAAGGGUUUUUGUUAGGUUAUGAUUCAAAUACAAAGGCGUAUAGGGUCUUCAACAAAUCAUCGGGUUUGGUGAAGUCUCUAGCGACGUUGUAUUUGAUGAGACUAAUGGCUCCCCAAGAGAGCAAGUUGUUGAUCCUAAUGAUGUAGAUGAAUAUGAUGUUCCAACAGACGCAAUUCGCACCAUGGCGAUUGGAGAUGUGCGACCACAGGAACACCAAGAGCAAGAUCAACCUUCUUCCUCAACAAUGGUGCACCCCCCAACUCAAGACGAUGAACAGGUUCAUCAAGAAGAGGCAUGUGAUCAAGGGGGAGCACAAGAUGAUCAUGUUAUGGAGGAAGAAGCACCUCAAGCCCCUCCAACUCAAGUUCGAGCAACGAUUCAAAGGAAUCAUCCCGUCGACCAGAUAUUGGGUGAUAUUAGCAAGGGAGUAACUACUCGCUCUAGAUUAGUUAAUUUUUGUGAGCAUUACUCUUUUGUCUCUUCUAUUAAGCCUUUAGGGUAGAAGAGGCCUUGCUAGAUCCGGACUGGGUGUUGGCCAUACAGGAGGAGCUCAACAAUUUCAAGAGAAAUGAAGUUUGGACAUUGGUGCCACGUCCCAAGCAAAACGUUGUGGGAACCAAGUGGGUGUUCCGCAACAAACAGGAUGAGCAUGGGGUGGUGACAAGGAACAAGGCACGACUUGUGGCAAAAGGUUAUGCCCAAGUCACAGGUUUGGACUUUGAGGAGGCUUUUGUCCUAUGGCUAGGCUAGAGUCAAUUCACAUAUUGUUAGCCUAUGCCGCUCACCAUUCUUUCAGGUUGUUCCAAAUGGAUGUGAAGAGCGCUUUCCUCAACGGGCCAAUCAAGGAGGAGGUGUACGUAGAGCAACCCCAUGGCUUUGAGGAUGAACGGUACCCCGACCACGUAUGUAAGCUCUCUAAGGCGCUCUAUGGACUUAAGCAAGCCCCAAGAGCAUGGUAUGAAUGCCUUAGAGACUUUUUAACUACUAAUGCUUUCAAGGUUGGGAAAGCCGAUCCAACUUUAUUCACUAAGACUUGUGAUGGUGACUUAUUUGUGUGCCAAAUUUAUGUUGAUGACAUAAUAUUUGGUUCUACUAACCAAAAGUCUUGUGAAGAGUUUAGCAGGGUGAUGACUCAAAAGUUUGAAAUGUCAAUGAUGGGCGAGUUGAACUACUUCAUUGGGUUCCAAGUGAAGCAACUCAAGGACGACACUUUCAUCUCCCAAACGAAGUACACACAAGACUUGAUCAAGCGGUUUGGGAUGAAGGACGCCAAGCCCGCAAAGACUCCAAUGGGAACUGACGGACACGUCGACCUCAACAAAGGAGAUAAGUCUGUUGAUCAAAAAGCAUACCGGUCUAUGAUAGGUUCCUUGCUUUACUUAUGUGCUAGUAGACCGGAUAUUGUGCUUAGUGUAUGCAUGUGUGCUAGAUUUCAAUCCGAUCCAAGGGAGUGUCACUUAGUGGCCGUGAAGCGAAUUCUUAGAUAUUUAGUCACUACGCCUUGCUUCGGGAUCUGGUAUCCAAAGGGGUCUACCUUUGACUUAAUUGGAUACUCAGACUCCGAUUAUGCUGGAUGUAAGGUUGAUAGGAAGAGUACAUCAGGGACGUGCCAAUUCUUAGGAAGGUCCCUGGUGUCUUGGAGUUCUAAGAAACAAACUUCCGUUGCCCUAUCCACCGCUGAGGUCGAGUAUGUUGCCGUAGGACAGUGUUGCGCGCAACUACUUUGGAUGAGGCAAACCCUCCGGGACUUUGGCUACAAUCUGAGCAAAGUCCCACUCCUAUGUGAUAGUGAGAGUGCUAUCCACAUGGCGGAUAAUUCUGUUGAACACAGCCGCACUAAGCACAUUGACAUCCGACAUCUCUUUUUGAGAGACCACCAACAAAAGAGAGAUAUCAAAGUGUUUUAUGUUAGCACCGAGAACUAGCUAGCCGAUAUCUUUACCAAGCCUUUAGAUGAGAAGACCUUUUGCAGGCUGCGUAGUGAGCUAAAUGUCUUAGAUUCGCGGAACAUGGAUUGAUUUAUAGCAUACAUAUGUUUUAUGCCUUUGAUCAUGUUCCUUUAUGCAUUUUGUUGCUUCAUUGUGUUGAUCAAGUUGUACAACGCAAUCCCCGGAUCUCAAGUCCAUGUGUGAGUGAUGCACACAUUUAGGGGGAGAUAUGCUACAACUUGAUCCUUUGAGACUAACCAUGUGCUUAAGUGUUCUUAAAUUAGUCUCAAAGACAUAUUGAAAGGGAAAGGUGAACUUGGACCAUGAAAGACUUCCACUACACUCCGAUGAGAGGGUAACUUACUCCAAGUUCAUCUCCAUACUCUUAUUGCCUUUUAUUCUUAUUUGAAGAUUUUGGUGAGGCAAUGGGGUUUAAGGGCAAAAAAUGAUCCCGUUUUGGUGCUUGAUGCCAAAGGGGGAGAAGUUAAGGCCAAAGCAAGAAAUGGAUCAGCUACCACUUGAGAAUUUUGAAAAUCGUAGAGUUAGAGUUUUUGUUUUGGCAAAAUACUCUUAUGGUCUCUUAUUGUCAAAAUACUCUUAUGGUCUCUUAUUGUCAAAAAUUGGUCUCUUGUGGGGAGAAUGUUUGAUUAUGGAAAAAGGGGGAGUUUUUGAAUCUUUGAUCAAUUUCUCUUGGAAUACCUUUCUCUAUGCCUCAACAAGUGAAUUUGACUUAGAGAUAGGAAAUUGAGUUUGAUUUGCAAAAAACAAACCAAGUGGUGGCAAAGAUUGAUCCAAAUAUGCCAAAUUUGAAUCAAAACAAAGUCUUGUUCUCAUUUGCAUUGAUGUUGCACUUCUAUAUGUUGCUUUUUGUUGUGUUGGCAUAAAUCACCAAAAAGGGGGAGAUUGAAAGGGAAAUGUGCCAUUGGGCCAUUUCUAAGUAUUUUGGUGAUUAAGUGACCAACACAAAUGGUUAUGUGUUAAACUAUGCCAAAUGGUGGACAAAGUGCAAACCAAUACAAAGGUAUGAUUCUAGACUUAGUACAUUGGUUUUUGUGUACUAACAUAUUUGUCUAAGUGCUAGAAUCAGAGAAAAGAAAAAUGGAAAAGACUUGGCUCGAGCAGCCAAGACUCUGCUCAGUCUGGGUGCACCGGACUGUCCGGUGGUGCACCAGACAGUGUCCGGUGCGCCACACUGGCUCUGGUGAAAUGGCCGCUCUCGGGAACUCGACGGCGGCGUACGGCUAAAAAUCACCGGACUGUCCGGUGGUGCACCGGACUGUCCGGUGAGCCAAUGGUCGGCCGCGCAAUCCGCGCGUGACGCGUGGCCGGGCCAACGGUCUGAUGGGGGCACCGGACUGUCCGGUGUGCACCGGACAGUGUCUGGUGCGCCAACGGCUCCAAAUCGUCAACGGUCGGCUACGCCGGAAUAGGAAAGAGAUCUGCACCGGACAGUGUCCGGUGGUGCACCGGACUGUCCGGUGCACCAGUCGACAGAAGGCAAGAUUUGCCUUCCUGGAUUGCUCUCAACGGCUCCUAGAUGCCUUGGGGCUAUAAAAGGGACCCCUAGGCGCAUGAAGGAGAACACCAAGCACACUCUAAGCAUUCUUGAUCAUUCACACUCCGUCUUUGCGCACUCGAUUGGCAUUCUUAGUGAUUUGAGCUCCGUGGUAGUGGUGAACCUUGUGUUAUUCAUUUGAGCUCAAGUCUUGGCUGUGUGUGUGUUGCUCUUCCCACUCUUACAUAUGUGCUUCUUUGUGAUCAUCUCAUUGUAAGGGCGAGAGGCUCCAAGUUGUGGAGAUUCCUCGCAAACGGGAAAAAGUAAAGAAAGAAAAACACCGUGGUAUUCAAGUUGAUCAUUGGAUCACUUGAAAGGAGUUGAGUGCAGCUCUCGUCCAUUGGGACGCCACAACGUGGACUAGGCAAGUGUUGUACUUGGCCGAAGCACGUGAUAAAUCUCUGUGUCUCUUGUGCUUGUUCUCACUGUGUCAAUUGUGGUUCACAAGAGUUCUCCUUAGCCACUUGAUUUCAUUGUGCUAACACUUAAUCAAGUUUGCGGCUUUAAGUUUCAAGUUUUUACAAGAUCACCUAUUCACCCCCCUCUAGGUGCUCUCAAUAACAUGACUUGGGUAUGUACAACACGUCUCUAUCUCUUAGCUUUAUGAUAUACAUGUAUUCAACGUAAGAUGACCGACAACAAUGGAGUCAAGCGAGCAAUCCAUGCACGAUGGACCAAGAAUAUCGAAGGUUAGACAUAGUCUUGGACAAGCGCCUGGUUGACGACAAUGGAUUGAGUAGAGUUGGCUUUGUCCCUAUGGCUUAGCAAGCCAACAACAUGACACCCAUCUCUCACUUCAUUGUUGGGACUCUACAAUCUUUUCUAAAAUCAUGAACACUCUAGCAUAAAAUCUAAACAAUAAUCUAACACGGAAAGCCUAAUAUGAUCUUAGCUACUGGUUAAAACUCUUUUUAUGUGAACAGAAGGGGGAUGAGCCCCAUACCUCUCUGCAUAUAUCUGAAUAAACAGAAGGGGGAUGAGCCCCAUACCUCUCUGGCAUAUAUCUGAAUAAUAGUCUUGGAAAGCCUAAAAUAAUCUUAGCUAUUUGUUAAAAACCUUUUGAUGUGAACAGGAGGGAGGACCCCCUACUAGAUUAAAUUAUAUCAAAAGAAAAGUAUUUACUAACAGUCAAGAAAAAAGAAUUACAUGUUCCAGCUAUCUUACGAAAGAGGAAUGACACUCUAGAAUCGAUUAUUCUUCACCUCACUUUCCCAUAUACUGAUAGACACACCCAACAAAACCCACACCCCACCAACCUUGUUUCUCCUUCCCUUACAAGUGGAUCAGCUCACUCGUCCCAAACCCUCCCCAAUCUUGCUCAUCCUACAUGCAUUCAUAAUCAAUGUGCUAGCUUCACACGAUAGCCCCCAUGACACCUCUCUCUCUCUCUGUCCAAACUCACUCUUCUCACCCUUUGACCCUUGCCAUUGCACACACCCUCACCUGAUGCCUCACUCUUGUAUGUCAUGCCGACAUUGCAUGUCCAUCGUUUAGUCACCCAUCACAAUAUCACAUGUCAAUAUCUAGUCACCCAUCCUUUAGUCACCCAUCACAUGCCUCAUUCUUGAUGGAAGUCCCAAUCACAUUGUUUAUUUCCCUCUCCAUGCAUGUGUUGUGCCUAGCUAUAUGUGAAUGAGAAGAACAUGAGCUCCUUACAAGAAUAGGUAAUAAGAAGAGAAAAUCCCUUCAAUGCCAUCCAAACUUAUACCAAUCCCUUCAAUGCCAUCCAAACUUAUACCAAUCCCUUCAACACCAUCAGAAUUUAUAGCUUCCCUUCAAUGCCAUCAAAUUUAAAUUUUAAUCCCUUGAAUGCCAUUACCGUUAGUUUGGAGUUAACGCCGUUAGUUCAAUUUAAAGUCAGUCUCUCCAAUGCCAUUAAAAUCUAUAUUGAUCCAUCCAAUGCCACUAGAAAUUGGUUCGAUAUAUUUGGGGUUUAAAAAUUCCAAAAUCAAAAAAUAUGGAUCAAAAUUUUAAAAUUUCACGAUUUUUAAAAACUUAAGUACAUACUUUUUUAUAAACCCCCAAAAUUACUUUGCUAUAUCAGUUCGUUUUUAAAAAACUUAAGUAUGGGCUGAAGUUUUUAAAAAUCGUGGAAUUUUAAAAAUCUGAUCCAUAUUUCUUGAUUCUGAAAUUUUUAAACCCCAAAUAGGUCGAAACAAUUUCUAGUGGCAUUGAAGGGACCAGUAUAGAUUUUAGUGGCAUUGGAGAGAUUGACUUUAAAUUGAACUAACGGAAAUGACAUUCAAAAGAUUAAAAUUUAAAUUUGAUGACAUUGAAGGAAAGCUAUAAAUUUUAAUAGCAUUGAAGGGAUUGAUAUAAAUUUGGAUGACAUUGAACAGAUUUUCUAUAACCUCAAUCACUGUCUUGAGCACGAGAGUGCAAAAGAGCGACCAGAAAAGCUGGCCGGUCGCUGGCAACAGCACGCAUUCCUACUCUACUCCGGCACUGCACACUCACGAGCUGUGGAUAGCUGAUACUCUCCCCCGGCGCCAAGAAACCACGAAAUCGCCCCCCACACACACCUUCCCUUCGGUCCAUCCCGAUCUUACCAAGAAUCCGAGAUCCGCCUGCGACAGCUAGCGGUCCUAUCUUGAUCCGAUGGUGUCACCGGCGCCGGGAUGUAGGGAUUCGGGGGAGGAUGGCGGCAAGGCGGAGUGGCUGAUCUACGCCUUUGUCGCGCGCGGCAUCGCGGUGCUGGCGGAGUACACGGAAUUCACCGGCAACUUCCCCGCCAUCGCCGCACAGUGCCUGCAGCGUCUACCCGCCGGGUCGUCCUCCGCCAGCACCGGGCCUGACGGCCGCGGCGGCGCGCCGGUACGGUUCAGCUAUGCAUGCGACGGGCACACAUUCAACUUCCUCCUGCACCGAGGCUACGGUGAGAUACGAAGCGAUCAAUCAAUGCCUUUUAAGUCUACUGCUUUUGUAUCAGUAAUGCUCUGGUAGAAGUAGGUAGCGCUAUUGGGGAACCAAGGAUUCUAAUUGUGUUAAAAAAGACAGUGGCAAAGCUCCAAUCUUGAUUGCUGUAGGUAACCGACCUCGGAAUCCUUCGUAAUUUGAUUUGCAAGAUCACCCCCAUAAAGGCAUCACUAAUCUUUAUGGCAACAGACAUACCAGACUAAAUGGAUAACAGCUCAACAGCAAUGUUGGUUAUCAGCCAAGAGCCUAAACUCCUUUGUCAUGUGUUACCAUGUCAGUCCUGAAUUAUGCAUUGUUGUGGAUCUUGAGGAUCUGGCUACAAGCCUUCAACUUAACUGUUAUAGAUCACAUGAUGAUGAUAAUAUGUAUAUUCAUGGUGAUACCUUUGCUCUUUGAACAUUUUGUAGCCUAUUGUGUAGUUGCGAAGGAAUCCGUUCCAAAGAAUGUCUCAGUGGCAUUUCUUGAGAGGUUAAAGGAUGACUUCAUGAAGAGAUAUGGUGGCGGUAAAGCUGAUACAGCUCUUGCAAAAAGUCUAAAUAAAGAAUAUGGGUAUGUCUUUUAAUAAGUGUUGCAUAGAAUGUUUUAUUCUUUUUUUCUUCUUCUGAAAAUUGAACUUCUCACCAAUGCAGACCAGUUAUAAAGCAGCACAUUCAGUAUGUUCUUGAUCAUUCACAGGAACUAGAUAAAACGUUAAAAGUGCAGGCCCAAGUUUCAGAAGUUAAAAAUAUCAUGUUAAACAACAUAGAAAAGGUAUGCCACAGCUCAUUUUGUGCGAAAGCAUUUGCUGUUGUGUUAUUAUUGGUUGAUGUGUAUAGGAGCACCUGAAACAACAGAGAACAGGGCCAGGGUUCCAUGACUAAUGUGUGCUAUCCUUGGUUGAUGAUAUAGCUGACACUGCCACAUAGACCAAGUGAUUGAUAGAGCUCAUGGACAGAAAUUGGUUUUCAUUGCUGAAAAAAACAGUAUUGGAGUGUCACAUUAAUAGAGAUAACUUCUUAAUCGGAUACAUACAAUCAAAGUAUUGUUCAUAUAAGGCCUUGUUCGGUUACAUGGGAUAUAAUCCCACCAUGGAUUUAAUCCGGGUAUAGAUUGGGUGAAUCCAUAUCUCACACCCAAUCCCAUGGUGGGAUUAAAUCCAUCAACAAAUCCAUGUGACUUUCAAAGCUAGUUAUUCUUUUGAUCCAUGGAUUCUAAUGUAAACUUGUGCAAUAUCUCAUGGAUUUGUUCCAUACCUAAUGGGCUAUGGAUAGAAUCCAUGUCUUCCAUAGUUUAAAAAAUUCCCAAACCUUUGGGUUAUAUUCCAUGAUGGGUUUAACCGAAUAAAAAAAAUUAAGUAGUCAUGGAUUAUUUUGGGGCAUGGAUUGAGGCAUGGAUUUAAUUCUAAUCCAUGCUAAUCCAGAGCGGGAUUGGUGUAAACGAACAAAGCCUAAGGAUUUGUUUUUGAUGGGCACAAGGAAUUUAUAUGCUUGGUUGGGUGUGCAGUUUAUUGUUGUUUUCUCAAACUUCUUAUUAGCUACCCUUUUUUAGAUGUUAGUUAAUUUCAUCUUCCAUAAAAGUAGUUGGCGAUAGUAGGUAAAUAAUUACAUUUGUGCUUCUCAGAUUUAGUUUGAGCAUGCAUGCCUAAUUCCAAACUUCCCAUGAGUUGUUUCAUGUGUACAUGAUUUUCACUUGUUAAAAUAAAGUAUAAUGCUAGAAGCAUAAUAAGAUUAGUAGAUUACACAACAGUAUGGUGGUUACCAUGCUUGCCUUAGUUAUACAUUAGACAUGCCAUGCACACAUCAUUAAUAGUUGAGAUCAUUGUCCUUGAAAGAAAUGAUAGUGUUUUUGCAAGUUGAGUCCGCUGCAUGAGAGUCAUCAACAUGUUCUUAUGUCUGCUAUGGAUGUUGUAAACUUGUAAUAUUUUAGAAACAAUGUUUUUUCUACAAGUGUUACCAUAGUUGUACUUAUUUGUUGAAUUCCAUCAUCACUUACUGUUAGCUUGAAUUGGCAAUCCCUUAUGAUUUUAUCAUUUCCGCCUCUUGUAUUUUUAGACUUUGGACCGCGGAGAAAAGUUGAGUGAACUCCAAGACAAGACUUCUGAUCUACAUAGUCAGGUGCAUGAUCCCUUAUCAUUGUACCAGUUCUGUGCUUCUUUUCUUUCUAUAAUAUAUUGGUCCUGCGUCACAUGUGUGUAAUUCAGGCCCAGGAGUUCAAGAAACAGGGGGUGAAGAUUCGUCGGAAGACAUGGCUGCAGAACGUGAAAAUUAAGUUGGUGAUUCUUGGAAUCCUUUUGCUCCUUGUGAUCAUAGUCUGGGUAUCUGUUUGUCAAGGCUUUGACUGCACCAAGCAUGAAACAUAGUAGUAAUAAGAAUGGUGCAGCACGACUGUGGCAGAGCUGCGAUGGAUGCGAGUUUGUGCUGGUGAGGUCAAGUGUGUACCCACAUAUGCUUUGGCUCUCAAGUUCGAUUCCACCAGACAAGUAUCACGGUACAAAUGUAAGUCCGAGCUGGUCUUUGUUGCACGCCGGAGGUAGGUGUACUUGCAAUGCAAGACUAGCAUGAUAUAAAGUGAUAGCAUGGUUCCUUCUGUACUAGCUGAAUUCGCUAGAAUCUAGCAUAAAAUGCAUUUCAAUUACCACUUAUUUUUGCUCAACCUAUUAACAUAUAUAGGGCGGACUGAGUUCAAGAUAUUUAGUGUUAGCUAGGUUAAACCAUGUUACAAGCAGAAAUAGAAGGGUUUACUGUUUUUUUUUUGAGUGGAGCGUACAUGUUUUUUUAAAUAACAAGCAUCAAGAAUUUCAGUACAACAUACCAUUAAUCCUCUUGAACAUGGUGAGCAUCACAUGACUACUGAAUUACAAGUGAAAGUUUGGUUUCAAAGUUUUGCAUACAAAUUUGAUAAUUUCCAUAAACUUAAGAUUCGAACUUCACAUAUAAAUAGUUCAUCUUGUGAAAUGGUCAUGAAGAUAUUCUGUAAGUUGUAGCGGGCAACAUAUGACAUAAUAUAUAAUAUAUAAACAACACAAAGUAGUACCAACGAAAAAUUAUAACCAAACAGGAAAAUUCAGAAAGAUGACAUGUAACUGGAAGUCUAGAACAAUAUGUAUAAAAUGGCACAAGAAGCCAAAUUGGUUGUUAUGUGUAGAUUCAAGAGUCAAGACUUACCUUCUGAUUCUCACAAGUCAAAUCUCACCACCCAACUAUCUAAACAAGUAUAUGUGAUAAAAAGUAUGUCCACCCACACUUGGUCUCGAUCCCAAUGCAAAUGGAUGCAUGAAGUGAGAGUUCAAGCCCAGUAGGAUGGAUGACAACUCAAUUUGCAUGAUAACAUAGACAAUAAAUAAUGAAGAAUUCAAUUUUGUAGAUCAAAUAAACAGUAACUGCUCUCCUGACAAUUUGUUGAUAUACAAAGUUCCGACAAGUUUUAAGAAUAAUGCAAAUACAAGAUGAAACACUACAUUAUUACAUUAGGUAAACGACAUAUAUGAUACAAAAAGCAUUACGGGAGAAGGUACUUAACAAACAAAAAUCAAACUGGGAAGCUAUGUACUUAGAGUGAUGUUUUUGAAGUACUUUAUAACUAAAUCAGACGUUGCAACCUCAGCCCUGCGACACUUCUCAUAGAGAACAUAUAUAUCUACUACAUGAUCUUUACUAUAGCAUCUAUAGGUUUGAAAGAGGCAUCCUUCAAAUAUUACUGAUCUUGACAUGUCAUAUUUGUUUUCUACUGAAAUAUCACACUCUACACCAGUUCCCUUACCAAUAACCUUCGUUAUAUGAACUCUAGCAGUCACAAUAGGUGAAACACCAUAACAACGACCAUGACCUAAAAUUAGUAAGAUAAACAAGAGUUAAUUUCACAAAACUACAACUCAUGUAAUAAGGAACUACAACUUCUGCUGGUCAUUUCAUAAAACUACAACUUUGACCCUAGAAACAAGCAACUACAGCUCUCAAGUAAACAAGUUGUGUGGCCCACUAAGACUAUACUCUAUUUGAAUGGCAGGUGGGUAAGUUGGUGUAGUUUUAUGAAAUGGUCACCAUUAGAUUGUCACAAAUGGUUGUUGUUUUGUGAAAUUAAUUUAGAAAGAUAUAUUAGACAAGGAAAAGACAAAGCAUAACAUUGCCAUCGAAAGUUUCUUGCUAAUUGUCUCAUCACAUCCAACAUGUAUAGGUAUGGAAAUUUCCUUAGCAUUAACACUAAUUGGAAUGAAAACUUGGCUAGCUAAUUUCCCUAACUUUUUCUAUCAUUACAUCCCUCUCAUAUUCAUAUCAAUCUUAGCCUGCAACCUUAACAAGAAAGAAUCCAAUUAUACAAGUGCCCAAAUAACAAAAUAAUACAAAGUUGCUUCCAAGACGAGAUCACCAUCCUAAUACAAUGUCCUUAUAAUAAUAUCACAACUAUUAACUAACAACAAUAAUGAAAUAUUACAUGGAAAAUUAGGGCGAAUAGCCUCUGUAUGGUAUUAGUGAAUCGUUGGUUUUUAUAUGGGUGUAUCUGGAUCAAUGUUUUUCACAGAGGCAAAUAUAGAACUAAAUGUGGGGUGCACAUGAUUGGAGCAUAUCCAUUUCACAUUUAACUUUUCCUAGUGAGUUGAAGCAUAUAUCCAUUGCACAUUUAAUUUUUUUCUACAAAACUGUGGUAGCAUGCAUAGGGUGUCGUCAUUGUAUCAGAAAUUUAAAAACAUCAAAAUAAUUGUAUUGUGUUAUAUGUUUGUGUUACAGCUCCUUGAACAUGUUAGCACAAGCUAGCAGAAACUGUAAAUCCAGGUUCUCUGAUCACUAUAAUGCUAUUGUUGGACCUAUUGUUUUAUCAAAUGAGCCUUUAUGGUCACUUCAAGAGUAGUUCGCUCAUCACUCAUAUAUGGAGUCGUUAGAUCUGUUUCAUUCCCAUUAUUCAAUUCUAUUAGCUCUAGAUCUUAUUGUGCAAGCAAUUCAAUUUACAGAUAAGAAUAAGAAAAUAUGGAAGGGGCAAAAAUGCUAGAAAAGAUAUGAGAUGUGCUUAGAACAAUGAUUAUGCUGAUGAGAAAAUAGAACAUUCGCAAGCUUCCUAAAAUCGAGAAAUCUUGUUCCUACGAGGAUAUUGAUCUAUUACAUCCGUACUGAAGUUGAUAGAGAGGUCCAGAUCACUUUGAGAAGUAAAUAGCUCCAUUGCGAAAGAUCCAAAUGGUUCCACAAUUAGAAGCCCGUUAUUUUUAUCUGAAAAGUAACACCAACUAUAUUUCAAAUGAAAAACAAAGACUUCCUAGUAAAAGUGAUAGCUAAAAUUCCACAGAUCACACUAUCAACUAAAACUAAAAAGAGGUGUGUUUGGCUGGAAUGAAACACAAUAUACCAUCAAUUAAACCAUGUUUAGAUUUUUAACACACUUCUAUUUUUUCUUAAUGCUCUACGCUACCAUAUAGGGGACACCAUUUUCUAUAUAUUUUCUAUCAUUUGAAGCAUAAAUAUUUAAGCUAAUAAGAUAUCCUUAAAUAAGGUUUAUGGUGAAACCCUAUUAUGUUGUUGCAUAGUUAUCCAUAAACUUUGAUAUGUUUUAAGGAGGUAAUAUUGGUUCAUCCAUAAAAAACAUGGUUCAGUUUAUUGGUCCUAAGCAAGUUUUAGUUUGUACAAAUGUCUAUAAAAAUCAAAAUAUAAUUUGAGUAAAAUGUCUGCAAAGGCUUGUCGUCAAAAUGAGCACCAUUUCCGCCAGCAUUCAAGUUUAUUUAGAAUGCCUUGUACCGUGGACCAUAAAAUGUUUGGUACUGUGAGUACAUGCAACAUAAUUCAGAUUUUUUCUUCUGGACAAUUUUCAAGUUAGUAGGACUGGGAUAGAAGAAUCUUGCGCAGAUGUACAACAAUCAGAUGAGUUGAUUCUAUAUCUUUUAGAUCCCACACAGAUCCAUAUAUGAAGAGCUCUACAUAUUAAGAUUCUAGAAAAUAGCAAAUCAAACCCUCAAACUCUGACAACAAGAACUAGUAGAGUGCUAGUACAUAUUAUAGAUUAUGCCAUACAAAGUGGAUCACCUAUAAGAAUCAAAAUAUAAUUUGAGUAAAAUGUCUCUAAAGGUUUGUCAUCAAAAUGAGCACCAUUUCAGCCAGCAUUCAAGUUUAUUUAGAAUGCCUUGUACUGUGGACCAUAAAAUGUUUUGUACUGUGAGUACAUGCAACAUAAUCCAUAAUUUUUCUAUCUUCCAAGCGUUUUUCAAGUUAGUAGGACUAGGAUAGAAAAAUCCUGGGCAGAUAUACAAUGCUCAGAUGAGUUGAUUCUAUAUCUUUUAGAUCCCACACCGAUCCAUAUCUGAAGAGCUCUACAUAUUAGGAUUCUAGAAAAUAGCAAAUGAGACCCUCAAACUUUGACAACAAGAACUAACAGAGUGGUAGUACAUAUUAUAGAUUGUGCCAUUCGAAGUGGAUCAACUAUAAUCUAGUCACAAAAAUGAGACUUUCACAGGUAUGAAAAGCAACUAUAAUGGAACCGAAAGACUUUCAAGUCUAUCCCAUAUAAUGGCAGUAGAUGUGUGUCAUAUAUGUAAGGAAACAACCGAACUACAUAUUCAUGAGGAGGUCAGUGGUGGUCUUUGGUUGACCUCGGUCAAGUUCGUGGACGAGAGCCUCGUUGGUGGUGCCAUAAGUGAAGGCACUUACCACGUUGAUGUCGAUGGCGUCGAGGAGUUCGUUCCUUGUCUGGGAGAACCUCCGGAUGUAAUCCUGGAGGCUUUCCCGCUCUUCUGGGUACACUUCUUGAGGUCCCAAGAGCUCCUAGGGCAUUCGUAGGUGCCCUAGAAAUUUCCGACGAAGGCCUUCCUAAGGUCAACCCAGUCAUGGAUGGUGCCGUUUGGCAAGUGUUCAAGCCAGACCCUCCCUCCCUCUGCGAGGUGGGAUGUGGAGAAACUGGAUGAUCAGAUGGUCAUCCUUGAUUCCUGCCAUGCGGCAAGCAAAGGUGGUGUUGGGGACUGAAGUAUCCGAAGGAGGCCUUAGUGUUUAAUGGUACAGACGAAGAUGAUUUCCUGUACUGCCUCCCAGACAACAAAAAAUUAUCUGUCUGCCGAGAGAUGACCAGAAGUAUGGGUUUUCCGAAGCUCGAAGCUGGCCUCUGUGCCAUGACGAAGGACGAUCUUGCAGAUAGUCUUGCAUACAAUAGUCUGAAGGUACUGAAGUUGUGAAUUUUGAAGCCUAUGGACUCUGGAAUGGAGUCUUUUCAUUCUUAUGUUAAUCCUUUAUUCUAUCUUGCAGGGCUUAAUACCUAGCAACGCACUAAGGGUGCAAAAGAAUGCUGAAGAUGAGAGUUGCACUAUAGCUCUCAACAACCUUCGAUCAGAGGUUAUCAGGCUGAGAAACGAAGCUACAGAAAAAGACAAGAUUCUACUUUCAUUAGUGGAUAAAGUAAAGGAAGAUGAGUCUAGCUUCAAAGCUCAAUCGGAGGCCCAAAAAAUUGAGAUUGAAGACCUUCGGAAACAGCUGGCCGAAGCCAAAGAAAAAUGUGCUCUCGCAGAAGCUAACCGAGAGGCCACCGAAUAUUGGAGAAAUUAUUUAGAAAAAACAGCUGCAGAACUUCGCGCAUCCAAAGAAAGAUGCUUCGAAAAAUCCCUGAGUUGCGUGGAGAAAAUAAAGGCUAGCUUCUCCAACGUGGGCGCCUAUUCCAACGAAGAUAACUUUAUACGAGGCGACCCUGAAGGCGUUGUCGAAUGGAUAAGCGGAGAAGCUGAAGCUUUUGAAGAAAUUUUAAGUGAUCGCGGGGAUGUCUGCGCAUUCUCCGGUGCGCGAGGAAUUUCAGCCAUCUUGGAGAAGGCGGGUUGCGAAUAUGUCAAAACCCUGGCCCAGGCCGAAGCUGCCUUCUCCGUGCAUGACAUAAAGGAUUCCUCAGCCGAAGCAAGUUUAAUCGGCGGAAAAUUUUAUACUGACAUCUGGGCAAAUGGCGACCGAGAAAAGGCAGCGAGAAGAGUUGAGGAAGCUGCAGAACGCGAGAGACGGAUAGGUAUCGUUUAAUGGUCUUUAGCUUCGUUGUUUGUUUUCGUGACUUCGAACUAAUUGAUUUUUUCUACCGCAGCUGAAUUAUCUCCUCCACCGGAGCCGUUCGACACCCUUGCCGACCCAGAAAUGAAGAAAGCAAUAGAAAUAAUCUGUUGGGGACUUGUUCUCAAAUGCUUCAAGAACAAGGCAACACAGAAAAUGUUAAUCGGUUAAGUCCUUCGUCCUACGAAGCAUUAUUUCCCUUGGGAAAUAAUGAUUUUCGGACGAAGGUCACAAAGGGAGAACCAUUAUAAAUGCAUUACAUAUUAACGAAGAAUGAAUUACAAGAAACAUAAAGGAUUACAUAGAUCAUCAUAUAUCAUUAUUAUAUAUAAAUAAAAAUAACAUUGGAUUACAGAUGUACCUUCAAUUUGAAGGAAAUGAAAGUACAAGCGUGACGCAAAAGUGAACACCAAGUCAGCGUGAACAGUACGGGGGUACUGUUCACCUAUUUAUAGGCACGGGGUACAACCCAUACAAAAUUACAUACAUGCCCUUUACAUUUGGUGAUAAUUCUAUAGCAAUCUAUCAAGGUCUAAAUGGCCUUUUCAUCUUUAAGUCGGUUCCCUUUUCUGCGAACAUGCCGAAGCUUUCCUGCUUCACAGCUUCGGCGCUGUGUCAACCUUCGUAUCUUUUGAGCUUCUCCCUUUCUGAUACGAGUCCGAAGAUACCUGCUCACACAUUAUACUCUAAAAACACUGUUAAAUCAUGUUUUUGAGGACCUUCGGAAGCCGAAGGCCCCCAACAGUAGCCCCUCGCAAUAUUAAUUUGUUAAAAUAAUAAAUUUAGAUUGCGACAUGGACGAAGGCUUUAAGCCGAAGGUCCGAAAAAACACCUUCCCUUUGCUAGAAUAGCAACAUUCACUGACAGGCGGGGUCUUUCAAUUUUUACCGCACCGAGCGUAUAAAUAAGAGCAUACCGCGAGCUCAUUUGGUACGCUCUCUUGCCACUUGCUCUCGCUCGCUCGAUUUUUAGCUUUUGCGCGCUAAGAUUCCCUGAGUCUUUAGUUUUAAAGCUUCGGCUUUGAAAACAGUUUUUUAGUGUUUCCGAAGAUGUCUGGAGACAAGGAAGCUGUUACUGAGACGAAACUGUCUCUUGAUGAGGAGAAAAACUUGGGGUUUCUUAUAGCGAUGUCGAAGACAAACACGGAAAAAAUCACCAAGGAAAUUCUGGAAGGCUUGUCUGAAGAUACUGGUGACAGUGACAGUUUUGAUGUAGAUAGUGGCGGUGAAGACUCCGAAGAUCGCCCCUGGCGACCAAGUCAUGCGGUUUUCGGCAAAUCAGCUAUCAAAGAAAACCAUCUUGCCAAUAUGAGGGGAAGGUAUUUCCGGGAUCUGUCCAUUGUGAGGGCGGACGAAGGGGAAAAGACUUGUCCACACCCUGAAGAAAAUGAAGUUGUGGUGUAUCGAAGCUUUUUGAAAGCUGGAUUGCGAUUCCCCUUGAGCAGCUUCGUCGUGGAGGUGUUGAAAAUCCUCGAAGUCUAUCUUCAUCAACUUACUCCCGAGGCAAUUAUAAGGCUAAAUAUCUUCGUGUGGGCCGCGAGAAGCCAAGGUCUGAAGCUUGACGCAAGAAGCUUCUGUAAUAUACAUGAAUUAUUAUAUGAAACAAAGCCUUGGGGCAAAGAACAGUACCAUAAUAACUUUGGCUGCUACAGUUUCGUCUCUCGGUCCGGGGCAAGCUGUCCCGUACCAACCUUUCGGAAGAGAUGGCCCGGGGAUUGGAUGACAGAAUGGUUUUAUGUGAAGAAUGACCUAUCAGCACGAGAAGACAUCAAAGGUAUAAUUAUGCGUCCUAUUUGGCAAAGCUUCGGCCUUCGGAGGCCGAAGGUGGAAAUGAAUGAAGCUGCCGAAGAAUGCCAGAGGGCCUUCGGCGUCAUCUGCUCUUUUAUUGGAACAAGAGAUUUAGUACAAGAGCAUAUUGCCUUCCGGGUGUGGCCUCUUGCGGAGAAAUGGGAAAUGCCUCAAGAAACCACAAAAGAGGCCGACGAAGGUGGGCUUGUGAGACUGAAGUACACCUUCAAGUUUGGAGAUAAAUUUACUGAGCCAGAUGACGACUGGCUAAAGAGUAUUGAAAAUUUAAGUGACGAAUUGCUUGGUGCUUAUUCGAAGGCCGAAGAUACUGCGAUGUCAGCAGCCUUCGGAGGCCGAAAAAAGAAGAGGCUGAAUCGAGUAUUUGAUGCAAUUGGGUUUGUUUACCCUGACUAUUGCUACCCCGUCCGAAGGCAGAAAAGAAAGAACAUAACCUCUGCAAAAGAAGAAGCUGCAACUGCUCCUAGCGAGCCAGAGCCUGAAAGAAAGAAAAUAAAAGUCCUCACUCACCGGCCGCGCUAUAUCGAACCAGCUUCGGUGCCGGAGUUUACCGAAAAAUCUUCUUCGGCUACCGAGGCUGAAAAGCCAACCAGACCAGUCACGCCACCUGCAGCUGCAGGGAUGACCAAAAUGGCGAAAAAGAUAGAACUAGAAGAACCGAAGGUUUCGCUGCCAGAAACCAACGAAAUGGCCGAAGCGCUAUCCACAGAAAAAAUUGCAGAAGUAAAAAAACCAACUGAAGAAAAAGUACCAGAAAUUGUGAGUCCUGCAGCAAAUGUUGAGACAACAAAAAAUCAAAAAGUGCCAGCAGUGACUCCAAAAAGAAGAAGAAUGGCGAAUGUGCUAGAUGUACUAGAAACAAUUAAAACUUCAAGCACGCCUCCGAAGAAGGCUGCUGCCAUUCCUGAAACAACUGAAAUUUCUUAUGACAAAACUCCAGUGCAAGGGACUGAAGCCGAAGCUGGGUCCUCAGAGCCCGCGAAGAUAGAAUCCUUGGAAACUGAGGAAAAAAUAACAAAGCCAACUUUUGCUGAAGAGAUCGAAGUCAUUGCCCCCGAAGCAUCCAUCAGAGUUCGUGAUUAUAUUGUUCGUCAUGCUUCGGGGAAGAAACUUUCAGAAAAAGAGGAGCAAGAGGCCCAGCAUUACGCCCAAAAGCUGAAGUAUCCAAAGGGGGCGUUAAUAUUCAAUGGUAGCGGAGAAGAAGACUUUUUGUAUUGUCUCCCUGACAACAAGGAAAUUUCUGUUUGCCGGGAGAUGAGCAAGAGCUUCGGAUUCCCAACCUUAGAAGACGGGCUCUCGGUGCUGUCGAAGAACGAUUUGGCCGACAGCCUGGCCUACAAUAGCUUAAAGGUACAACAAAUGGGAUCCUUGUAUUCUUUGUUGAUACGAAAAAAAAA